rnacentral:lncRNA from 1 species
CAGAUACGAUGCGUCAACAACGCUGCGUGCUCCGGCAACCCGGAGACGGUGAUCAUCACUGACAUGAACUACUACCCGGUCUCCAAGUACCACUUCGACCUCAGCGGCACGGCGUUCGGCGCCAUGGCCAAGCCUGGGCGCAACGAAGAGCUCCGCCACGCCGGCAUCAUCGACAUCCAGUUCAAGAGGUGGGUAACAUGCGCCGCACGUUGCUCUGAGCCACAAAUCCACAAUCUGCAGGCCCCACCUGAACAGAAUAUAAGCUCCACUGUCUAUCUACUUUGCGCUGCAUGUGGAGGAGUGAAACUCCUGUAGAUUCGCGGAAAUAUUUAGUAGUUACUGUACCUACUCCUAAUCUCUAGAUUAGGACUGUAGCCUGACAAGAACAAGACUAAUGGAAACUUGUCACAUGCAGAGUGCCCUGCAACUACCCCGGGCAGAAGGUGACGUUCCACGUCGAGGAGGGCUCGAACCCCGUCUACCUUGCUGUCCUCGUCGAGUUCGAAGACGGCGACGGCGACGUGGUGCAGGUGGACCUCAUGGAGGCCAACUCCGGGUACUGGACGCCGAUGCGCGAGUCCUGGGGAUCCAUCUGGAGGAUGGACUCGAACCACCGGCUGCAGGCGCCCUUCUCGCUGCGCAUCACCAACGAGUCCGGCAGGAAGCUGGUGGCCAACCGGGUCAUCCCGGCCAACUGGGCGCCUAACACCUACUACCGCUCCAUCAUCCAAUACUAGUUCAGCCACUGCGCUCUGUAACUCGCUGUCAUUGGCUUAAUUGUAUAUGGUUGGUGCGUUUUUACUAGGUAGUAGUAAUUAAGUGAGGAACCAGAAGCCCGGCAAUGCCGUAGGUGUUGUGUUUCAGCAAGAUUGGCAGAGUAGGAGAUGAGGAGGCUAGUUUGGAUGUGCUUUCUCGCCCAGUGUCAAUGUAUUUAUCAGUGUGAUCAAGACUAUAAAAAGGUUUUUCUUAAUUCAGAACGUCUAUGCUUCGCCCAUACCCUUAUGUUUGUCGCUCCUCUUGAUUAUUAUUCGGCACAAGUUGCUCAUAUAUUCAGCGCAAAUUACUUUACUAUACUCCCUCCACGCAUAACUAAGUGACCUUUAUUUUUGUGUUGCCUGUAGACUGUAGUGAAUAUUCUAAACACUAGCUGUAGAUUAUUCUGUUAUGUAUUGAGUUUGGAUCUUUGAAAAUUACAUAAAUAGAUUUGUCUUGGAACUAGUUUCACAAUAGUUUCUAAAUCUCAAUGCACAGUCUUGUUACACUAUUACCAAGACUGGGUACAUGGUAACCGAGCCAGAUGGGUUUCAUGAGGAUGAAUCCUCUCUCAUUUAAUGAAACUCCCCCUCCUCUCUCCUCAUAUUGAUCUUGCCAAAUCAAAAAAAUUGCUGAUGUGGUAUAGAAUUUAAUGCUCAUGAAACUCCCAUGAAACUCUCCACUGAGACUGGCAUAAAGACGAGUCAAAAUGGCGUGCUUUGAAGACCAUACAUGGCCUCUUGUCCAAAAUGUAACUUGCUUAUCCCUUGUUUGGGAUUAGAGAUUGUAUUAUUUUUUUAUUUAAGGUCUUGUUCAGUACGUAGUUUUUAGGGCUGUCUAUACAUCACUUGGGUGAUUUUAGGGCUCUCCUCACCCAUGUAAUUUGGCAAGUCAAAUCACCCAAAUCUUUGGAGAAGUAGGAUUUGGUGAUUUGUUGGGUGCCCUCACACAGGUGAUUGGGGCACCCAAAGCACCUAAAAAAAAUCUGAAUGCUGGAUUCUAGGUGAAACAAACAAGUUCCUCACCCAAAAUUGACUAACACAGAUUUGCUAAAAAACUAACAACAUAUAUGAAAUGAAAUAAACUAGACACAAAUUCAAACAAAAAUUAAAUAGAAAAGUAUGCAAAGUAUGCAAGAUCAAAAGGAGCUACAACAUGAAAAAGUGCACAUAUACAACUAGCAGGUUCAUGCAUGAAAAAGUGUGCAAAGAUCAAAGGAGCUACAAACAAAGAAAGUGCACUGAUACAAUAGCAGGUUCAUACAUGAAAAAAGUGUGCAAGACCAAGGGAGCUACAACAUGAAUUCAGUAGCCAAAGAUUCUUGGAGUUUUCAUGGGCAUUUGGAUAUCAAUUGACAGCUUUUGAAAGUGUGCAGAAACCAAGCAAGAAGCCAUAUAGCCAAUCUUUGGAUUGCAUUUCUAGAGAAUUUUCAAAAAUAUUUGAGAAAAAAAUAGACAACAAAUACAUCUAGCAGGUUGAGGCACAUCUGGCUACUGACAUCACCCAUCAUGGCAAAGUUGAAAAAAAUAAGAUAGCAGGCCCAGCCAAACAAAAUAACAACUAGCGGGUAGAGCAACAUUUGGAUCAAAGAGAAAGUAGCUGAUCUAGCUACACAACUGACAGAUUUGACAUAAAAUUUGGCUACCACAUUUGCUACUAGAUCAACGUAACACAAAAUGCAGGUGAUCAUCGUACUGAACAACAUACAUGGAUGGAAAUGCAUAAUUUAUAAAACAAGAAAAGGGGAAAGCUAAAAUGGCAAAUAGGAAAAGCAUCCAUUAGAUCAGACUUCACCCAUCAUGUUUAAUGGAUGCAUAAUUCUAUGGUUUCUAAAUUACAAAUAUUGUGUGUAUUUUGUAAAGCCCUCAAAUGGAAACAGGAAAAAAGAAAAAUUAAAUAGUCAAAAGAAAAAAUAUUCCAAAAAUUAUACUAUGAUUUGUAAAAGAACAAAUGUUUAGGUGCCUAAUGUAGCCCCACAAAUGCAAAAAAGUAGACAUACAGCAAAAAGGGAAAAAUAUACAAAAUUCUUCAAAAAAAUUUCUAUGUUUUCCAAAUAUUGUGUGGAUUAAUGAAACCCCACAAAUACAAACUAGAAAAAUGGCAGAUUUAAAUAGUCAAUCAAAAUAAUUCAAAAUUUUCCUAUGGUUUACAAAACAACAAAUAUUGAGGGGGUCAGAUGUAGCCCCUCAAAUGCAAACUUGACAUACAACAAAUAGAGACAAAUGACAAAGAUGCAAAACCAAAUUAAAAAUGGCGUAGGUGCAUGAUUCCCAUAGGAGAGAAGAAAAAUUCAGAGAAGACUAAUCAUGAACCAAUUAUGUAUUAGCAUAAGCAUAAUAGUAAUUAACUGGAUUAAUAAAAGGGUAAAACUGACCAGAAGUUCACAUAAACUUGAAAAAAAUACAAGGCACGAAAAAGUUUUGGUAUCAAACUAUUACACAAUAACGGAAAGUUCUAGCAACAGAUGACCUAAAAUUUAGUAGCAACAUGCAUACUAGUAGCUAUAGAUAGCUAGGAGAAAGUAAGAAGCAAUUUCCAUCAGAAGUUGUGAUCUACACAUAUGAAAACAAAACCACCUUAAAUUCUCAAAUUCAAUCAUUUAAGAUAAUUACAUGUAAAGAUGGCAAAAAUUACACCAAAUAAGCUACUGUCAGAUUAGUCAAAACAUAUUGUAAUUCAGAUCUUGUGAACAUAGGGAACACUAUUACAGAAAGACAAAUAACAUCACCAACAUUAAGUGGAAUGUGGCAUAAAAGUACAUACUGCAGUCACAUCUUUCUCUUCUUAGAGGAACUAGCGCCAUCAUCUCUGAUCCUUAGAGUCCUCCUUUCUUCUGCCUUCUUCUGGGCCCUUUCCUCUUUCUUGCGUUUCAAAGUACUCUUUGUCUACCUCAGAUUUCCAUUCAUCAGGGUUGGCAUCUCUGACAUUGAGGUUAAGUCUGCUAGCCAAAUCAUCUUGAAGGUAAACAAAUGACAUCUUUCGAAAUCCGAUCAUAGUGUUCUCACAAACUUGGACUUUCCCAUGGAGUUUGUUAGCAUCAGCGGGAGAAGAGCACUUCACAAGAAAUUCCCCAGAAGCAGCAAUCUGAUCAAUCUUGAAAUCACCAUUAUUAAGCAUAUUCUGAAUAACUUGGGUGACUUUGUACAAGACCUCCUCAGAAGGAAAUGCUUUUUCAACAGCAGCAUACACUAGGGUGUUGGUGGGUCCAUCCUUUAGAUCCAAAUUCUGCGCAAGGGCCUUGUUUAGAAAGACAUUCACCUCAACAAGUUUCCCCACCAAAUUCAGCAUUUUCCUAAUUAUCAUGAAAAAAUAACAAAAUUAUACAAAGGUGCUAGAAACUAGAAAUAUUAAAUCAGACAUGAUAGAAUUGACAUGAACAUUUUGUACAAAUGACAGUACAAUGUGCGCUGUCAAAUUCGGCAGUAAGCACUGUCGUAUCUCAAAAAUAUAACAUAAGUACUAACAAAUGCUCAUGUAUGAUUAUCAUAAGGAAUAAAGGAAAAAAAUACCAGGGGAGCAAAACCAGAAAUGUGCUUAGGAAAAAAGGAAGAUCAAUUACAUGACCUAGCUGUGCAAAAAAGUGAUAAACAACUUGAUAUAGUGCAUAUAUGAAAAAUAUGACACUAAUUCUGUAUUAGAAUACCUUGAAGCUAGUUGGAGAAUAAAGAACAACUCUGCAAAAACAGAAAAUAAAAAAGUGAGUAUAUAAGAGGCAUAAUUAGAUUCUGAAUGGAUACAAUUUUAAGGUAACAAUAAGAAAAAUUAAUAUAAACUUAGUGCUAACCAGAUUUACAUGAACAUGAUAUGCAAAUGACAGUGCAAUAUACACUAUCAGAUCCUACAUAAAGUACUAUCAAAUUAAAUGAAUAUAUAUAGUGUCAUAUCUAAGCAUAUACCAUGUGUGCGAUAUAUCUCAGCUCGCCCAUAAAUUAAAUGACACAGGUAGAACACCACAGAAAAACAAGCAUUUUCCUUAUGAAAAUAUAAAAUGAGAAGGAGUAUUAACUUAAGAACAAAAGAAAAAGAAUAACUAUAAAAGUUGGGUGACAUAAAAAUUCAAAUUUUGAUAACUAAUUUAGACCAAAACCAAUGGCACCAUGAGCUCUAGACCCAACCAUAAAUUAGCUAUCAAUUGGGCUUGUCAACAACCUAAAUCAUGUCCAUCUCCGAUUGUAGGAAAAUUUAAAAUCUUUAAAUUCUGCACACAGCCAACAGUGAAGGCUGAUGCCAAACCUCACCCAUAAAUCAGAACCCUCCACUGAUAGCUGGAGGGACCACGUCAACCAGCUGAGAAAUCACUAGUAGGGGAUGUAAAAAUAAAGAGAGCAAAUUUUGAACAAAGAUAUAAAGCAAACGUGAAACAAGCUGAAGAAAGCACACAAGCACCAGGCAUCAAUAAUACGCUGAAAAAGUACACAAUUUUAAAUAAAGUGGAAAGAAUAGGUUUAUAUGCUAAUAGUAAAAAAUGACAUAGAACUGUGAACUGUCAUAACCUAGAUAUAGUAUUGAGAAAAAUUGAUCAAACAUUGACACGAACAUAUUAUACAAAUGACAGUACAAAGUGAAUUGUCAAAUUGAGCAAAAUGCGCUGUCGUAUCUGACAAUAUACCUAAAAUACUAUCAAAUCAUAUAUAAAAACUACUUCAUAUUAAGAUAAGGUAGAAAAACUUUAAUGGCUGCACAAAGCCGAUGUUGAAGGCCGAUGCCAAACAAUGCCCAUAAAUCAGAAACACAGUUUUUGAAAAGUGCACAGUUUCAAUAAACUCGAAAGAAACACAUUUAUAUACUGAUUGUAAAGUUGACAUGAACAUACUUAACAAAUGACCCAGUGCGCUAUGAACUGUCAAAACCAAGAUAUGGUACUAUGAAUUUAAUAAUAUACACUGUCAUAUAUCAGAAAUUGCUGGAAUUGGCUAGUUGGAAAAGCAGAAACAUCUAUCAGAAUAAAUAACAGAAACAAAAAAAGAGACCGAAAAGAGAAGAAUUAUGGUUGAAAAUUACCUUCGAGGGAGUUGGAGAUUAAAAAGAACAAAUCUGCAUAAAAAUAAAGUAAUUUAGAACAAAGAGUGAGAAAAAUUAUUAAUUACAUAGAGUAUUUACUAGGCAACAUUUUUUUAAGAAAAAGAACAAGUUUUAGUAAAUCAUAAUCAGACCAAGAAAGCGAAAUGGCAACAAUAGCUCUAGACUCAACCAUAAACAACACUUUCCAAUUAGCUUGCCCUUUGAAAAACGUAAAAUGUGUCCAACCCGAUUGGAGGGAAAAUUAAAAUCUUUAAUGGCUGCACACAGCCAUCAGUGAAAAAGGCCUAGGCCAAAAGCCCACCCAAAAAUCAGAAUCCUCCACUAUGAGCAGGAAGGUACACGUCAGCCAGCCGGAGAAAUCAAUAGUAGGAAUAUACUUAACAAAUGACAAGAGCAUACUUAACAAAUGACAGUACACCAUGAACUGUCAGAAUCUAGAUAUAGUACUGUGAAAUUAAAAAUAAGCACGGUCAUAUAUAAUAAAUAUAUCAUCUGCAUGUUGUAAAAAGAACUAUACAACAGAAACUGUUAGAAUAGAUACUACUUCUAAAAUUGAAAAGGGAUAUGACAAACUACAAAGGCAAUUGAAAAAUGUAAUAUAGAAAACAUAGAAGAUAGAAAGCACACAAAAUUGUAGUAAACUAAUCUGUAGAUUUAUGACUAGAGAGGCAGAUAAAAAGUGUAGUGACAACAAGUUAGUAAAGUAGAAUAACAACAUCUAUAAAAGAAAAAAAUUAUGUACCUUCAUUGCAGAUUGAUUUGAAUCAGGAGAAGAAGAUUGAAUUAAUCUCUGAUGAAAAGAAAAGAAUAGAUAAAACAAAUUAGUUUAUAGAAAUUUGCAUGUAGAAGCAUGAAAUAAUUAUAGAAAUUCCAACAUAGAACCAUUAAAAAAGUGGAUAUGACAAGGCCGAUGUGGCUGACCUAUACAGAGCUAGUAGAAAUUCUAGGAAAAUACACUAUUGACAGCCUAACAAUAGAUGCCAUGAGAAAAAUACAUAGAUCCAAAAAUAUACACCAUUCAGAUAUCUUACACCAAUGCCAAAAAGGAUGAGCGCAUGGUAGAAGACAUAUGGGUACAUAAAGCCACCAAACAGCAGCAAAAUUUGUGAUGAUCAGUCAAGAUUUUCAGGAACCGAGAAGAACAAUACUAAAAAGAUUUCCAGGAACUGAGAAGAACAAUACUAAAAGUCCUACAUUGUAAAGUAUUAUACCAAGCAGAGGUAGUAGCAUUUUUUUAUGAACCGGAACAUUACAGUUCAUUGGCACAUGUAGAAAUGAUAUUUAUAACUGCAGCAAUAAUAGCAAACGGAGUUAGUAGCAUUUUAUAUGAACCCCAACAAGAAAGUUUGCUACCAGAACUGCAACUAGACAAAACAACAUCAUCCGAAAUAGCAAGUCAAUGCUCCAAAUAGACACAUCAUCUGAUGCGAUUUGGGAUCCGCAUGAACAUUUGAACCAAAAUCAACUGCGGAUAAUAAAAAUCACCACGGAUUUGCUAAACCACACAGUACAAUGAUACUCCAUAAUACCAAAUCGUAGUAGAGAUCAAUCAGAACUACAUUUACAGAGAUUAAAUCAAUCAAAUCGAGAUCUAAAAUACGCAAUCAAAAGUAAAAAAAAGGAACCAAAAUAGCAUAGAAAUGAGCAUCCAGAACUGCAGUGGGACGUCGACGGAAGGGGUGGGUGGAGACGUCGAGGAUGGCGAGCUCCGGGCAGUAGCAGCAUGAGAGGAACAUGGGUCGGCGGGGUCCAUCACAAAUUUGAAGGCUAUAUGUGUCCUCUUGUCCAAAACGUAGCUUACUUAUCUCUUUCCCUUGUUUGAGAUUAGAGAUUGUAUCGUUUUUUUGUAUUUAAGGCCUUGCUUAUUACGUGGUAUUACGUGGGAGUUACUAGUUUUAUAUCACUAAACACUUUUUUUUCCCUUUCUUAUGAAAAUUUUGUGCUCCAAACACAUGCACUGUUGACUGUUCAGACCAUAUACCAACGAAGUUCAUGCAGUCACUUCCAAUGACCGCACCAGUUGAGGGGAAGUUAGUACAGGCACCAUAGGCUUUAAACUAAAGUAUCGAACCUAAAGUAUCUGUGCAUGUGGAGGUUCAACGAGAGUCUCCAGAUUAAAACGAAGCCCAUCAACAAGUUGGUCCAUGGCGCUAAAUGCUUCUUAAACGUAGUCGCUCUCGCUGCGCUGCAAAAACAUCUCUAUCUGUGCUCCGCCCCAGUAGCUCAGCUGUCGACGAGUUUUCUUUUUCGGACACAGACGGAGAAGAUAAGGACGCAACAGGAAAGGAGGGCCCUGAAUUUUUUCCCUAUUCCUAUUCUGCUCGAUCGCCCGAACAAACAGUUAGCUCCGGAAAGAUACAAGGGCAACUGACGCGGUGAUGUGUCCACUCGCAUGUGCGAGGGAGGGGAGCCGGACGCCGACCGCCGCGCGGCGCUGCGCUGCACAUUUGCAUGUGAGGUGCGGGCCACCGCGGAGAAGGCAACGGCCGCCGGGCCCGGGCUGUCGAACCAACCAGUGGCCGGCACGAAGAGCCGCGGUGCUCUCGCCAUCAGCCGAGGCGCGCAGCGAGCUCGCGCGCCAGAUUUGCUGGCCCCGCGUCGUCGUCGCGCUCGCAUCCACCGUUGCCGCGGCUGGCCGCAGGUCUCGUCUGCCCCGUCGUCGUCCGUAGUGUUCUCCGGAGGCCGGGCGACCUGUGGAGCCGUGGGCCGUGGCAUCGUGGGCGAUGUCUUCGGUUGCGCGCGCACGGCGGCAUGGGCUGCUCGCAAAGUGGGCGGGGUAUGGUUCAGGAAUGCAGCGCCGGGGUAGUGUGGGGCUACUGGGUUGCACCUGCACGUAUCAUCAGCAGACCGAGUAGCACUUCAUGCAAUCACGGAUGGCCUAACGCUCAGUUUGAUGUUGCUUCUGAGAAAACGACCUAACUUCUUGUGCAUUCAGCGGCAAAGUUUAGAAAUGUCCAGGCAAGACGUCCGUACGUGGUUGGCUUGUAGAAAUUCCUAUUUGGGUACUUAAAUAAGGGGCAAUCAAAAUCUACCGGUUCAAUCUGAAACAGCCCAAUUUGCUGCGUUUUCUUUCAGUUGAUGCUAAGAUUCUUGCUGGUUUUCCUGAGAUUACUACCAGCAAUCAUCUUCAGAAAUGGCACACACGCAGUUUGCAGGCGAUCGAGGCAUGUGCUAUGCAGGAAGAAAGAGAAAGCAACAUCACGUUCGCUCACUCCUAAACGCACCGAGCACACGACAAUUCGCAUUUCGAAAGUGGGCGGAGAUGCCAACUAGUACAACGGUGGAUGACUUACACGGCUGCACAAUGUGUAACACGCCCGAAUGGCCACAUGCACAUCGACUCCGUGGGUUAAGGGAAGUCCCAAGUUACCCGUCUACCACCUGCAAUUUUGCAUAGGCCAAAAGAAAAUCGGGCAACCCAUGUUCACUUCAGUGGUUCAAAUUAUGUUCCACUUGUCGUACAUACAUCUAUAGGCCCGAAAGGUUUGAACAUAUCCAAAUAUAAGGUUGGACACCGAGACGCAUCUAACAUGGAAAGAUAGAAAUUAAUCGAGGAUUACGAAAGUAUUCGUUGUAAUAGGGUAGGCUUCUUUUAGUCGUAUCCGACUAGUAUUAUUGUAACCAACCGACUAUAUAAGGCGAGGCAGAGACCUCCUCUAAAGCAAUUCAAUCCAACCAACACACGGGACAUAGGGUACUACACAAUCUAGCGGUCCGAACCUAUCUAAAUCGUGUGUGUGCUUUUACCUUCGAGUUCCUGAUCUCGACGAGCCCCACCAACCAAAACACUACCUCGGGUACCCCCCUCAGUAGGUUGUCGGGUCUAAACACCGACAGCUGGCGCGCCAGGUAGGGGAUCUCGCCGAGAAUCCACUAGCGAACUCGAUGGCACAAGUCAUCACAAGCCAAUCGUCAUAUUUGAAGCAGGCGCGACGUUCAUCUUUGGCUCCUGGGUUUGCAUUGCAAACGGCGCUGGAAAUUUCCGCCGCCACAUUACGUCAACCCCGGAGAAGAAGCAACAAACCAUGAAGCUCCAGCACCACGCUCUGGAGGAUCUCAUCGAGAAUUUUGGCGAAUUUUCAAUUUCUGACCUAGUCAGAGGCUGCGGGGACGAGUCCGAGUUCAACUCGACUUCUUCCACUGGUCGGAUUGACUUGCACGACCCGGCACAUAAGCCAUCGUGCGAGUCAGAUUACUACUAGAGUCGAUUCCUAUUCGGACUCCGCAACGCGACCACUAUUUAUUAGACAGCCCUGUCCAAAUUACAAUCCGAUACGGAUACGAUCGAGGACCUCGACUACUACUCGAAUCCGGAUAAGGAGACUCCUUUAUCAGGUCCGCAGCAGGGCCUGGUAAUCACAUCAACUCCUCAAGGCAGAUUCAUCUAGUGACCCAACAUGAAGCCAUCCGCUCUUGCCAAGGACGACGAUUCACGCCUCAUGGCCUACCUCGACACUCUCCCGUACUAGGAGGGAGCUCAUCUGUCGCCCAUCUACGAGGAAGGUGGCACCACGGAGGUGAUCACUUCAAACUUGGGAAGCUACUCUCUAGAGCAAGAACUCUUCACCGUUGUUGCUGGACAAGAGAACGAAGAACAAGAGCGAGGGGACAGAAACCCGUGACAUGAGCGUCACCUAGAUGACGUCUUGAGGAUGAGCUCACCGCCAACGUUGUCGAAGAAGAGACCGAAGCUCAAAGAACUUGACAAUGAGCAAGAAAUACACAAGAGCAGAGCACCGCCACCGCCUUUGAAGCAGUUCAAACGCAUCACCAUCGUACUCCACUGGCUACCGUCGCAUCUAUUGAUCUCAUCACCCACACGAUGCCCUAGAACAAGUACACUAGACAAUUGGCUGAGCUGGCGGAACUCGCGUAUGAACAACUCGAUCAGCAGAAUCCGAUACAGUCAGUCCAAUGCUUCGCAUCCCAGCGAAGUCAACAUGGCAGUAGCCAUAGAGGCCCUCUGUCCAGACCAAGUCAACUCAGAGGCGGGCAGAACACUCGGGAGGCCGUCGCCACCAUGAGGCUAACCUAGAGCCUGAAUGCCUAGUAGGAGACCUCUGCAACAAGAUCAAUGCCAGCCACGAUGCCCAUACCAUCAUCGAUGGAUGGCAUCGUGAGCGUGAGCAAGAAGUCAAACACCCAGGGGAUUAUACUGAUGGAUUCCGCGCCUUCUCCAGAUGUGUAAGGAGGACAACUCUACCCGAAAAGUUCAAACCCCCAAGCAUCAUCAAGUACGAUGGCAAGCAAGACCCAAUCCAGUGGCUUCAGUGCUACUUGCUAUCAGUACAAUCAGCUGGGGGAAACGAUGACACCAAAUUCGUCUACUUCCCCAUCUGCAUGGAGGCGGCGCCACUCAUAUGGCUUGAAUCGUUGGACAAGAACUCCAUCGACUCGUGGAAGGAUCUCAAUGUGGUGUUCACCAACAAUUACGCGGGGCCAAUGCAGCACCCUGGCAACAGGAUCAACUUAGCCUAGGUCAAGCAACAAGAAGGUGAGACCCUGCGGAGCUACUUACGUCGCUUUUUCAACAAGAAGGACACAAUUGUGGAUGUCACGGAGUGCGACGUCAUUGACUGCUUCCAGAAUGGCCUCCGCGACCGUCGGAUGUUUCAAGACUUCGGCAGAAGAUGCCCCGCUGAUGUCAAUCUCUCAAGAUCAUGGCACAUACGUGGGCAGAUGAAGAAGAUAGGAAGAUCGAAAAGUUCGAGUCCAAUUGCAACAAGGGCUAGAACAACAACAAUCAGAAUAAUGGUCAACACAACGACAAGAACCGCAACGAUCGCCACAACAAUGACAAUCGAAAUAACUACUCAGGAAGUUAGAACCGCAAGCGCAAGCCAGACAAUACUAUCAUGGCAAUCUCGCAAUCGUCCAAGAAAGGUGGUGGCAGGAACCAAGACAGGCCCUCGUUUAACGAGCUCCUGAAGAAACUUUUCCCAUGGCACCCAUACCACAAGCACUCUGUGUUAGAUUGUUUAAGUCUACGCAAAGUCAUAAAGGACCUGCCAGAGCCAUCUGGCACCAAAGAUAAGGGCAAGGCCAAGGAAGACGAAUACGACGGUGACAAUGGCAAGUUCCAGAAUCCAUCCAACACUGUCAACGUCAUCUUUGGUGGAACCCUGAUCCCAGAAGCUCACUCUUCGAGAGAUAAUGUCUAUUGAACAUGCGGCACCAACGUUCCUCAAGUGCUCCGAGGUGCUAAUUACCUUCUCCAAGAGGGACCAAUGGACUAGUUUCUCAGACCCACAGCGCUAUCCCCUCAUCUUUGACCCAGUUGUCGUUGGCUCCAGACUUACCAAAAUACUCAUCGACGGCGGCAGCGGUCUCAACGUCCUAUUCGCCAAGACACCGAAGAAGAUGGGCCUCGACAUCACCGAUAUGCUCACCCUGACGAACUCUCUGUUCUACGGGAUCGUCUCGGGCAAUGCGGCUGUACCCCUCGGACAGGUGGUUUUGCUAGUUACCUUUGGGAUCAAAGAACACUACUGGACAGAAUACAUCCAGUUCGAUGUGGCAAACUUCGAAACAUCGUACCACAGCAUCCUUGGAAGACCAGCAUUGGCCAAAUUCAUGGCCAUCCCGCAUUACCUGUACUUAGUACUCAAGAUGCAGUGACCCAAGGGAGUACUCUCCCUGCGCGGAGACUUGAAGAGGUCGUACGACUGUGACACAGAAGCUGUGGAGCUAACAACAACUACUCAAGUACCAAACUCAAUAAUGCAAGUCUUUGCCGCAUCCAAAAAGCUAUCGUCGUCAGAGCUCAAGAUUCUAGAAAAGAAGUCGGGGGCAACGAAGGUCAAGCCGGCAAGUGAAGUAGACGUCAAAGCCAUUGACCUUGAGAUGAACCCAGAGAAGAUCUCUGCCAUCACCGAUAUGCAUGCCCCAUCAGGCAUCUAGGAUGUCUAGAAGCUAACUAGAUGCAUGGCGGCCCUCAACCGAUUCAUCUCAAGGCUUGGAGAACGGGGCCUACCCUUCUUCUAACUACUCAAGCGACAAGACAAGUUUCAUUGGACUGAGGAGGCAGAUCAAACCCUACAACAAUUGAAGGACUUCCUAUCAAAGCCACUAAUCCUCACGACGCCAAAACAAACGAAGACUUGCUGCUUUACAUCACCUUGACUACUCAUGUUGUCAGCACGGCGAUAGUGGUUGAAAGACUGGAACGAGGCCAUGUAUUCAAAGUACAGACGCCCGUCUACUUUGUAAGUGAGGUGCUGUCAAAUUUCAAGACCAGAUAUCCACCAGUUUAGAAGCUGUUCUACGCGAUACUGCUCACCUCAUGGAAGUUACGACAUUACUUCCAAGAGCACAUGAUCUCCGUCAUCACAGAUUUCCCUCUCGGAAAUUCUCCACAAUCAGGAUGCAACAGGAAGAAUAUCUAAGUGGGCGGUACAACUCGGAGCAUUGUUCCUGGAAUUCAAGUCGAGGAUUGCAAUCAAGUCCCAGGUCCUAGUCGAUUUCAUGGUAGAGUGGCGUGCAAAUCAACUACCAAUACCAGCGGAGCGUCUAGAGCAUUGGUUCAUGUAUUUUGAUGGAUCACUCAAGCUCGAGGGCGCCGGUGUAGGAGUACUCUUGAUAUCUCCCAAAGGCGAACAACUCAAGUACGUCUUGCAAAUCUUCUGGGAAGUGUCCAACAAUGAAACUGAAUACGAGGUGCUUCUGCACAGGCUUUGCCUGAUAGUCUCGCUAGGAAUAAAGCGAUUGUUGGUCUACGAUGACUCACUGGUGGGGAUCAAUGAAGUCAACAAUGAGUGGGGCUGGCACAAGGAGAACAUGGAUGCGUACUGUCUAGAAGCUCAAAUCUACUCGCGCUCAAGUUCCAGCAGGGGUUUUCAUCCAUGAGCUACACAAGCCAUUCAUAAUGGAGCCGGCACUAUCAACAACCACCGAUCGAGAUCCUACCGCACCAGAUCGGAAGGUUAUGAUGAUCGAUGUAGACUGGACUACUCCCUUCAUUGACUACAUCAAAGAGCACAAGCUACCUUCAGACAAGAAAGAGGCAGAACAAGUCUCACGGCGUAACAAGUACUAUGUUCUAGUCAGAGACAAGAUGUACAGAACAGGUGCAUCAUCAGGGGUGCUCAUGUAGUGCGUCUCACGCCAAGAUGGCAAGGAUAUCUUGGAGGAGAUACACAAAGACAUCUACGGUAACCAUGCAUCCUCACGGACAAUUGUGGGCAAAGCUUUUAGAUUUGGGUUCUAUUGGUCUACGGCUCUCACUGACGUCGAGGGACUAGUUCGUCGAUGUCAAGGGUGCUAAUUCUUCAUCAAGCAGCAACACGUCCCUGCCUACAAGCUAAUCACCAUACCACCAUCUUGGCCCUUCGCAUGCUGGGGGCUUGACAUGAUCCACCAUUACCAACUGUGCCUGGGGUUUUCAACUGCGUUCUGGUGGCCAUUGACAAGUUUACCAAGUGGAUCGAGGUGAAGCUAGUCACUUUCCCUAAAGCAGACAAAGUACUCGACUUUCUCAAUGAGCUUGUUCAUCACUACGGCUUUCCCAAUCGCAUAAUCACAGACCUGGGUUCAAACUUCAACAACCAUGGGUUCUAGAAAUACUGCGAGAACAGUGGGAUCAAUGUUCGGUACGUCUCCGUUGCUUAUUCGCGGGUCAAUAGCCAGGUUGACAGCGCCAACGGGAUGGUGCUAGACGCUCUCAAGAAAAGGCUGCACGACAUCUCCAACACCAAGGGAGGCAAGUGGUUCAAGGAGCUACCCAAUGUACUCUGGGGGCUACGUACCCAGCCAUGCAAGCCUAUAGGGCAAUUGCCCUGCUUUCUCGUCUACGGAUCUGAAGCCAUGCUACCCGUUGAUGUCAUGUGGAAAUCCCCAAUAGUUGAGCAGUAUGAGGAAGGCGCAGCAGAAGAAACAAGGCGUCUAGAUAUUGAUAGCCUCGAAGAAGCUCGCUGCAUAACACUCAUCCAGUCCGCAAGAUAUCUCGAAGGUCUUAGCCGCUACCAUGAUUGAAACAUCAAAGAAUGAUCUUUCAACUUAGCCAACAUGGUCCUUCACCGUAUCCAGGACACUAAAGGGCUGCACAAGCUGAACUCACCAUGGGAGGGGCCUUUCAUCGUCUCCAAGGUCACUAGACCUGGAUCAUAUCGACUAUAACACCCCUUUGGUGAAGACAUCGAUACCUCGUGAAACAUUGAGCAACUCUGUCGAUUUUAUCCUUAAUUUAGAUUUACAUAUUUAUGUAAUCGGCCAUUGACCCUAGUUGUAGAUUUACAAUUAAAUAAAAUAGUCAUAUUUUUAUCAUAAUUCGACUACUUAUUUUUACCUUAUCACUGCUUGCAGAAGCAAGUUCAUAGUACUCAUAAUGAGCUAUUCAGCUCCUUAGGCAAAAUCACCCAAUCGUGGCUUGUAAUAACAAGUUUGCAAAACUCCGACGAGCUAUUCAGCUCCCUAGGCAAAAUCGCCCAAAUACAGCUUGUAAUAACAAGUUUGCAAAAUUCUAAUGAGUUAUUCAACUCAUUGAACAGAAUCAUCCAAUUGCAGUUUGCAAAGCAAGUCUGCAGUAAACUUCGUGAGUUAGUUAACUCAUUGGAGAAAUCUGUCCCUUGGUGGCUUGCAAAAAAGAAGCCAUCAGUACCUCAGGAGUUAAUUAACUACCUGAGUGACUAUUUACCAGACAAAUCUGUCUAGUUGCGGCUUGUAAUAACAAGUCUGCAGUUCCAAACUUUCCAGAGCGUAACAUCAAUACAACUCAGAGAGGUUGUAAAGAUAGGCUCUAGUCGUUGAAACCCUAAAGAGACUACUCGCCCAGUAGUCUACUAUCCAGAUAGCUCAAGUACUCGUGCUCCACAAAAGGAUACGCAUCCUAAGUACUCUACAAUGUGCAUCUGAUGAGGCUCACAAAAGAAGCCUUGUGUGCAGACACUCACAUUAAUCAUACGAGCAACGAUCAGGAUUAAUUGUGAGAGGCACUAAAAAACAAGUCGCAAAGCAAGAAAAUAAUUGCAUAAAGACUUCAAUAUAUUACAAGCAUUGACAAUUGUUCUUUAUACAAAUACUAAUGUUUGUUCAUCUCCAGAUCUACUCAAGGUCUAGCUGCUUGGCUACUUCUUCAAUGGUGGGAUCCAUCUCCUGCAUAAUCUCAUUGAAUUGCUCGUCCGAGCAGUCUGACACCAUCCCUUCAACAAUGGGUUAUAAAUUUACCCAAGAAUAGAAAGACUUCACAAAGCUCAAGACCUGCUGGGAGAUAGACUUCACCAUCUUUUAAAUAUAGCCAGAAAUCUUCUUUGGCGCAUCCUUGAGUAUCUCUGACAGCGGAGAAGGCUCUACACCUUUAGCUGGGGGCUCUAUCAUAUCCGCAAUUGGCUGGGGGCCUUACAAAUCUUAUUCAGGAUGAAUGUGGCAGUUUUCUCCUUAGCCUCACAAUCUUUGAUGGUCUCCAUGGCAGUAACAAGAUUUGCCUCGCCAUCCUCGCGCAUCUUCUUCUCCUUCUCUAGGUUAUGCUCCAACUUCUCAACUUGCAAGACAAGUUUGUCAUGCUGGUCAGUCACAUGAUAGAACACAUUGGUCCAAUCUGUGGCUUUCUCCUGAAGUUCUUUAUUCGACUUCUCAAGCUCUGCACAUUAAGGCAGCAGAGGGUCAGUACCACAAGCAGAAUCAGUAUUCAGAAAGCAGCAAGAAUAACAAUUACCUUUAAUUCGCUAGUUCAAGGACUUGUUGCGUUCGCGGAGUCGGUCUUUCUCUUCUUCAAGUUGUAAGAUGCGAUUCUGAUAUUCAGUGGCAGCUCCGUCAUACUUCAUCAUUAAUUAAGAACAAUGCUCCCUAAGUUCUUUUUCAAGGGCCUCAUAAUGAAAUACCGUGUCCCCAUAUCCUUCAAGCAUUUGGGAUUUGCGAUGGGAGUGCUUGAUGACAUCCUGCAACACGCACAAUAGGUACUCGUAUUUAAUACACGAGUACAAGUUACAAGGCAACUAUCAACACAUCAAGUUAGAAAGAAGAUACCUCUGCAUAAUUGCCGAUACGGCGGUGCAUCUCCAUCAUUCUAGUGACCAGGACGUGGAUAGCAACAUCAAGCUUUGGAAGCUUUGGAAGCUACUACCCGGAUAGAGAAAUCUUCAUCAUCACAUCACCAAGCAACGACACGGGUGCCAACCACCAAAAAACUCCUCGACGGGUUGGACAACUUGAUGACAUCUCACAAGAUGAAUCGUCAGCUAACGCCCCACAAGAAGAAACCUCUGAACAAAGAAAUCAAAGAAAGGCACGCAAUGCUGCCCGAGCAGAUUGUCGCCGACUACUAGCCACAAACAUUCCUAUCAUAAACCUCGAAAGAGCAUUCGAUGCAGUGCAAGCUCGAGAACACAACACUCCACUCGCGGCAAUUGCCUCGAUCAACCUCAUAUCAACUCUCAUACCUCAUGACAGAGAUAACGAGUUAACAGCACAACUCACGGAAAGGGGCAAUGAGUUAAUAGCACAACUCGUACAACAAGCUUAAAAACUACUUGACAAGAAGUCACUGAUUCCAUCUAUUCCUCGCAACUCGACCCACCAAGAUGGCAGCAGAGACGUCGCAGUCUACGAUGGCAAUCGCGAGGCUCCAAGAAAUAGCAAAGAAGUUGUCAACCAGCCAAGGCAACAUAGCCAAAGGCAAAAUAGAGAUGAACGCGAAGCCCCAAGGUGAAACAGGGACGCAGGGGAGGCUAGCUACACCAAUUCUGCAAAGAGCCCUCGCCACCGCAGAGCUGAUUGCGAAGCCUCAAUUUUCAGCGACCUAAGAGAGGUAAUCAAUAACAACCAUCGACGUGAACGCGAACACGAAGCUGAUGACUAUGAUCACUUUCCCACCUUCACCGCAUGGGUAAUGAAGACUAAACUACCCGAGAAGUUCAAACCGACAGGGAUCACCAAGUACGAUGGCAAGCAAGAUCAAGUCCAAUGGCUAUGAUGCUACUCACUAGCAGUUCAAGCAGUUGGGGGUAAUGGUGAUACAGAGGUCAUUCACUUCCCCAUAUGCAUGGAACCCGCACCGUUGACAUGACUCGAGUCACUCAAACCAAAAUCAAUCGAUUCCUGGGAAGACUUGACGAAGGCUUUCACUAAUAAUUAAGGCUCCAUGUCUCGCCCAAGCAACAAAAUUGACCUGAGCCAAGUCAAACAGAAAGAAAGCGAAAAACUUCACAACUACCUAUGCCGUUUCUUUGAAAAGAAGGCUACAAUAGUCGACAUUUUAGAAGCAGACGUGAUCAAGGACUUUCAAAAUGGUCUCUAUGAUCGUCGAACAUACCAAGACUUUGGCAGACGUCGUCCAGCCACCGUCAAAGAUCUCAAAAUCAUGGUGAAUAAUGGGUAGAUGAAGAAGACAAAGAGCGUGAGAGAUUCAGCUCUCAUCGCAACCGCGGUCGCGACAACAAUAACAACAAUCAUGAAUAAGACAGAAACCGCAACAAUGAUACUCGAAACAACUACUAAGGUAAUCAGAACCGCAAGCGCAAGCUUGACAACACUGUCGCGGCUAUGUCCAACUUAGGCAAGAAAGGGUCACACAAACGCAAUGACGGGCCCUCCUUCACCGAAUUACUCAAAAAACAAUGCCCAUGGCAUCCAAAUAGCAAACACUCGGCGAUUGAUUGCUACAGCAUGCGCCGAGUAAUGCAAGAAUUACCCGCACGACCACCUCCCAAAGACAUUGGUCAGAAGAGGGACAAAGGUAAAUGCAAGAUUGACAAAACUGACGGAGGUGAAGGCAAGUUCCAAACUGCCUCUAAGACGAUCAACGUCAUCUUUGGUGGAAUCUCGGGUACCGCGUCCAAGCGGUCCAAUAAGCUAGUACUUAGAGAGAUUAUGGCUAUCGAGCUAGCAGCUCCUACACCACUCAAAUGGUUUGAGGUACCCAUAACUUUCAGCAGAAAGGAUGAAUGAACAAGUUUUUCGGAACUAGGCCGAUUCCCUCUAGUACUCGACCCUAUCAUUGCAGGCUCAAGACUUACCAAAGUACUCAGCGAUGGCAGAAGCGGACUCAACAUCAUUUUUGCCAAGACACUAAGGAAAAUGUGCCUUGACAUCACAGACAUGGUUACUCCAACGGACUCACCAUUUUACGGAAUUGUCCCAGGAAAUGCUGCCAUACCUUUAGGAUAACUUAUCCUACCAGUCACUUUCGGCACCAAGGAACAUUACCGAACCGAGUACAUCAGGUUUGAGGUUGCCGACUUCGAAACUUCUUACCACGCCAUAAUCGGAAGACCAACCCUGGCCUAGUUUAUGGCCAUAUCACACUACGUGUACCUGUUACUCAAGAUGCUAGGACCUAAAGGCGAGUUGACACUACGUGGAGACUUAAGGCGAUCAUACGAGUGCGACACGGAAGCUAUCAAAAUCGCAGCGAUUUCUCAAGCACCUAAUCCCAUGCAACAAGUCUUCACAGAAUCAAAGAAACUCGGCCCCACAAAACUCGAGACCCUAGAAAACAAGUCGGGAUCGACUAAGGUGAAACCAGCAAGCGAGAAGGACUUCAAAACCAUCGAUCUCCGGACUGGUGACUCAUCCAAGACAACCCUGAUUGGAACUGGGCUAGACCCUAAAUAGGAAAGCGCGCUCAUCAGCUUUCUUUGGGCUAACCCCGACAUCUUCGCUUGGAAGCUAGCUGACAUGUCCGGUGUGUCCAAGGAGCUGAUUGAGCAUUCAUUAAAUAUCGACCCCAAAGCUACCCAAAAAGACAAUGACUAUGAAGGUUUGCCCAAGAUAGAAGAGAUGCAAUAAAAAAAAGAGCUAGCCAAACUACUUGCGGCAGGGUUUAUGAUGGAGGUUUUCCACCCUGAUUGGCUAGCCAACCCUAUACUUGUUCGAAAGAAGAACAAUGAGUGGAGGAUGCACGUCGACUACAGACCUCAACAAGCACUGCCCAAAGGACCCCUUUGGACUACCCAGGAUCGACCAAGUAGUCGACUCCACAGCUGGGUGUGCUCUGCUCUGCUUUCUCGACUGCUACUCAGGCUAUCAUCAAAUGGCUCUCAAAGAAGAAGAUCAAGCCAAAACAGCUUUCAUCACUCCGUUUGGAGCAUUUUAUUACAAAAUAAUAUCUUUCGGGCUAAAAAACGCAGGUGCAACCUAUCAAUGUGCCAUCCAGAUGUGUUUCAAGAAGCAACUACACCGCAACGUAGAAGCUUAUGUAGGUGACGUAGUCGUCAAAACAAGAAAUCCAAAUGAUCUAGUCGCAGACUUAGAAGAAACAUUUGUAAGCCUACGAGCGUUCCGGUGAAUACUCAAUCCUACAAAAUGCGUUUUUGGUGUACCCUCAGGAAAACUACUCGGGUUCAUCAUUAGCCACCAUGACAUUGAGGCCAACCCGAAGAAAAUCUCUGCCAUCACAAAUAUGCAAGCUCCAGCCUACAUCAAGGACGUGCAGAAGCUUACAUGCUGCAUGACAGCCCUCAAUCGAUUCAUCUCAAGACUUGGAGAACGCGGAUUAACCUUCUUCAAGUUACUCAAAUGACAAGAUAAGUUUCAAUGGACAGAGGAUGCAGACAAAGCCUUGACACAGCUCAAGGACUUCCUGUCAAAACCACCAAUGCUCACAGCUCCAUCUCCAAACGAGGACUUGCUCCUAUACAUAGCUGCUACUACUCAUGUUGUCAGCAUAGCAGUAGUAGUCGAAAGGUCUGAACCAGACCACGUCUACAAAGUCCAGAGACCCGUCUACUUCGUCAGCGAAGUACUUGGACUCCAAAACUCGGUACCCACCGGUGCAGAAGCUACUCUACGCAAUCCUACUUACCUCACGAAAACUGCGAUACUACUUUCAAGAACACAGCAUAUCUAUCAUCACUAACUUACCGCUCGGUGAAAUCCUUCAUAACAGGGAUGCAACGGGUAGAAUCUCCAAAUGGGCAGUAGAGCUCAGAGGUCUGUCUCUAGACUUCAAACCCAUAACAGCUAUCAAAUCCCAAGCUCUGGUCAACUUCAUGGCAGAGUAGAGGGAAAACCAAGUACCAACACCAGUCAAAAGGCCCGAGCAUUGGGUUAUGUACUUUGACGGUUCCCUCAAGCUUGAAGUCACCGGUGCAGGAGUACUCUUGAUUUCUCCAAAAGGGGAACAACUCAAAUACUUUCUCUAGAUCUUUUGGGAAGUCUCAAACAAUAAAACCGAGUAUGAAGCACUUCUACAUGGCCUUCGUCUCACAAUAUCACUCGGUAUCAAACGACUACUGGUAUAUGGUGACUCGCUAGUCGUCAUCAACCAAGUCAAUGAUGAGUGGGAUCGCAACAAGAAAAACAUGUACGCCUAUUGCAAGGAACCCCGCAAGCUAGAGAACAAGUUCUCAGGCCUUGAGUUUCACCAUGUCAUCUGCGACAACAAUGUAGCUGCUGAUGUGUUAUAAAAAAUGGGCUCAACUCAUGCGGAAGUUCCAGCAGGCAUUUUUGUACACAAGCUUUGCAAGCCUUCCAUACCAGAACAAGCCACUCCAACAACUACCAACACAAAAUGAAGGACCGAAAAGGUGACUAGAGGGGGGGGGGGGGGUGAAUGGGAGCCUUAAAUAUUUCUUUUAAAAUCUUAGGCUUCUGUCCCAAAUUCAGACCCCAAAACCGAAGCGAGCGGAAGACGAGAGAUCCACGAGCCAACUGGAUGGCUGGGUAUCUAUGGUGAUGAUCGAUAACACAGCGGGACUCUCAAGAAACAACUGGAAGUAAAACCCAAAGAUCCAGAAAGCAAACUUCAAAUAUCUGAGUCAAAAUAGGACUCAAAAUGCUCCUGUCGGAAGUUCCGACCCCCUAUCGGAAGUUCCGAUACCUAUCGGAAGUACUGGGAUCUCCCGACAGGAGUUCUCUGUCGUUUCAGCAAUUUUCCCUUCGGAACUUCCGACACAGUGUCGGAACUACGUCGGAACUUCCGACAACACAGAAAUCAACCUUCGUGAGAAGACAAUAAAAAUCCAAAACUUGAUCAAACGACCUCCAAAAAUCAUGAAAUUUUAUCCAUAGUUUUCCAACAACAUAAAAAACAUGUUCCCAAAAGAUCUCCUAAAAAAGAUCACCCAAUCAAAGGGAUUUAAAUAUCUUGUGAGGAAUGUCGGUUUUUUAACCCUAGAGCUUGAAUCGUCUCGAUCUAUGAACUCGUGAGGUUUCAGUCAAAUCCCUUUGGUGGAAAGGUUCAACUCAUGUCCUAGUUCAUUUCCAAAAGACCGGUUUGAGUCAAGAACUCCCAGAAAUCACGAAUCAACCAAAAGCGUGAGAGGGAGAAAAAGAGAAAACAAGAACCCGAAGAACAUAAGCGAGAAUUGCACAAAGCUGUCAUCCCCCAACAUAUGGAGGACACGAGGAGGUUAGGGCCUCCAUUCCAUCAAUAAAAACUCGGUUCAAUACAUUAAUUCCUUGCAUCACCAUGAACUCCUUGAUUCUCGAUGAUACCCACCGCACAAAAGAUCACCUUAAGUACUCCUUAGGCGGGUUGCCAAUCUAAAACACCAACAGACGUAGCCCUUGGAGUGGACAACUUCUCUACAAUUUGCUCCUGCGACGGAAGUACUGUUUGAGCCUGGAUUAUGCCUUAAGCUGAGUGGCUGCCGUCAUCAGUCAUAGGAUUGGAGUCAGACCUAGCCAAAUCUAUGUCUGAGGAUUUCCUGCAGAAGGGCACAUAUUUCUGUCACAAGAAACUUACUUACGAGUCAUAAUAAGUACUUGAAAGAGCAAUAGAGGAUAUCUUGAAGAUCUCCUUAGUUUCAAUUUGGGUUUCCCAUCAGGCACAAUGGCUUAAUGGCUGGAGAUGGUGCCUUUGACGUGGCCUGAGAAGUCGCAGCUUGAUCCUGGCUAGCCUUAGUUACCGCCCCUGCUGCUGACAUCAUCUCUACGCCAGCAGGGUUCACUGCAUAUCCAGAGGAGUUGUCAUUGCUAACAACAGACUCUGGAUCAUCUUCAACAUCGAUCAGCUCCUCGGUGAUCAGCGACUUGUCCUGAGCAGCCAAGGCAGUUGCCUUCUCAGUUUCUGUCGCCAGCUCGAGUAUCUGCAAACUACUAGUGUCAUCCUGAGUAGGCACGGUGUUGACAUUGGAGACACCUUUUUGGAGUAUGUGAUACUUAGGAUCUUGUCCUUCCUCUAGGUAAUUACCUUGGGGGGCACAUUAUCCGCAGCAAUGGAUUUCUUCAUGGCCUGUUUAGCAAUAAUAGUCUGUUUCUUCUUCAAUGGUGGAGGGAUCGUGGCUUCAAGCUCAGCUUCUUCAACCCAGAGGAUGGUCCGACCUUAGCAGACGGUUGGACCUUGACUUCGUAUCGAUCUGUGGCAUCAGAACUAGUGCUGCUGGAGGCACUAGUAGAGAACUGACUUUCGAUCCGCCCCCUUUUAUCCCGGUUUAAAAGUGGCCCGGGACAAAAGGGGGUGCGCCGGGGUGUGGAAAUUUGGAGGGGAGCAUUAGUCCCGGUUGGUAAUUGCAACCGGGACUAAAGGCCCCCCUUUAGUCCCGGUUGCAACGGCUAGCUGGGGGGCGUCGGUGGCGGGACCCUUUUAUCCCGGUUGGAUCCUCCAACCGGGAUAAACUUCCAACCGGGACAAAAGGUGUUUCCUUUUGUCUCGGUUGGAGUUUUUAACCGGGAUAAAAACUCAUCCCCCACUAUAUCCCGAGACAGAGAGUUUCUUCUUCCUCCAGCCCGAGCAGUCCAGCACAUUGAUAGAGAGCUGAGCUUCACCUACUCUCCGGUGGUGCCCAAGCAAGGGAGGUGCUGCCCGAAGUUUUUUCCCUCAUUUUCGUGGGAAUUUGACUCAGCCAACAAGUGCUGCGAAGGUUUGCUACUUCAUCCUUGUGUUAUGCUUUGAUUUAUGCUUUGGAGAUGGAAAGAUUAUUUGCUACAAUGUGAUGAUGAAGUAGAAAAAUGGAGAGGUAUUUUGAGCUAGAAUGUGAGGGAGAUUGAUGUGUCAUAUAUAGUAUGCAUUAUUUCAGUGGUUUAAAAAUGAUGCUACCUUGUCUAGACGGUUUAUCUUAUCAAAUUCAAUAUGGUUUUUUAAAUCCAUAUACUUGUUGAACUUGCAUACCGUGUUCAUUUCUGCGACGAUGUUCUCCGCCGAGUAGCAACGUAUGUCAAGAAGGAGGUUCGAUUCUACGAGAAAGAGUGGAUACGGACAUCGUGACCGUGUCCCCUUUUCCGUAGCAUCUAACCUCUUUCAUGACGAAGUGCGGUGCCGCCCAGCUGAGGACAUCCUCGCGAAAUGAACACGGUCUUCAAGUUCAACAACUUCUGUAGUGGUAAGGAAAGAAUUUUUGUACAUAGAUGACUUCUGCUACUUGUUGAACUUGCAUACCGUGUUCAUCUCUCCGAGGAUUUUUUCCGCCGAGCAGCAACGUAUGUCAAGAAGGAGGUUCGAUUCUACGAGAAAGAGUGGAUACGGACAUCGUGACCGUGUCCCCUUUUCCGUAGCAUCUAACCCUCUUUCAUGACGAAUACCGGUGCCGCCCAGUUGAGGACAUCCUCGCGAGAUGAUCACGGUCUUCAAGUUGAACAACUUAUGCAGUGUUUGGGACUUUAAUUUAAAUAUGUGUAUUUGGAUCUUCAUGUUGUUUUAUUGUACCAUGUUGUUUGGAUCUUUAAUCGAUUUUCACGCGUAAUCCAUUGUCAAGUGUAAUCCAUUUUCAUGCGUAAUACGAUGCAGAUGGACCGGCAAUGGAUGUAUAAUGCAGAUAGGCGGAGCAAGGUGUUUAUUGAUGGCUUGCAUUAUUUUCUCGAAGUGGCAAAAGCGAACAAGCCAGAGAAUGGGUUCGUAUGUUGUCCAUGCUUCCAAUGCAAUAACAGGAAGGAGUAUUCAAAGGAUUCCUGGGGGACUAUUCACAGCCACUUGUUUAAAUACGGUUUCAUGCCUAACUAUUUGAUUUGGACCAAGCACGGUGAACUAGGGGUUGUAACGGAAGAUGGUGAGGAGGAGGAGGAAGAUGACACCAUUCCGGACUGGGUUGCAGGCCAAGCUUUUGCAGGUACUACAAUGGGCGAGGCUGAUGAAGAUGAGUUUGCAGAAAAUGACCCUACUGAUGACCUUGGUCAGGUGAUACGAGAUGCAUACAGAGAUUGCGAAACUGAGAAGGAAGCAGCAAAGUUGCAGCGCAUGAUAGAUGAUCACCAAAAAUUGUUGUACCCAGGUUGCCAGCAGGGCCAUAAAAAACUAGGUACGACACUAGAAUUUGUGCAAUGGAAGGCAAAAAAUGGUGUGUCCGAUAAGGCAUUUCGGGGGAUGUUGAACAUUGUCAAGAAGAUUCUCCCCGAGAAUAAUGAAUUACCGUCCACAACAUAUGAAGCUAAACAGAUUAUUUGCCCUCUCGGAUUGGAUGUUCAGAAGAUACACGCAUGCCCUAAUGACUGUAUCCUCUAUCGUGGUGAUGAAUACGAGAAAUUGGAUGCUUGUCCCGUCUGCGAAGCCCUACGGUAUAAGAUCAGGCGAGAUGAUCCUGGUGAUGUCGAGGGGCAGUCUCCCAAGAAGAGAGUUCCCGCGAAGGUGAUGUGGUAUUUCCCUAUAAUACCACGCUUGAAGCGCUUGUUCAGGAACAAGGCGAAUGCUAAGUUGAUGCGAUGGCACAAAGAAGACCGUAAGGAAGAUGAGAUGCUGAGACACCCCGCAGAUGGGGCACAGUGGAGAUCAAUUGAUAGAACAUUCCCAGACUUUGAAAGUGAAGCAAGGAACAUAAGGUUUGGUUUAAGCGCACUGAUGGAUUCAAUCCAUUCGGUGAAUUGAGUAGUGGUCAUAGUACUUGGCCUGUGACCCUUUGUAUGUUCAACCUUCCUCCUUGGCUGUGCAUGAAGCGGAAGUUCAUUAUGAUGCCGGCGCUUAUCCAAGGCCCAAAACAACCCGGCAACGACAUUGACGUGUACCUAAGGCCGUUGGUUGAUGACCUUUUACAGCUCUGGAAGGAAGAAGGUGUACGUGUGUGGGAUGAGGAUAGACAAGAGAUCUUUAAUCUACGAGCACUGUUGUUCGUAACCAUCAACGAUUGGCCUGCAUUGAGUAACCUUUCAGGACAGACAAAUAAGGGAUAUCGGGCAUGCACCCACUGUUUAGACGACACAGACAGCAUGUACUUGAAGCACUGUAAGAAGGUCGUCUAUAUGGGUCAUCGUCGAUUUCUCCCUGCUCACCACCAGCUGAGAAAGAGCGGGAUGCAUUUCAAAGGGACGCCAGACCAUCGUAAAAAACCUGCACACCGUAAUGGAAAGCGUGUGUUCAAGAUGAUGAAGGAUGUAUAUGUAGUCUUCGGAAAGGGACUUGGUAGCCAACCUGUUCCGAAUGACGAUAACGGACAUGCACCCAUGUGGAAGAAAAAGUCAAUAUUUUGGGAGCUACCUUAUUGGGAAAUCCUAGAGGUUCGCAACGCAAUAGACGUUAUGCACCUGACGAAGAAUCUUUGCGUGAACGUGCUAGGCUUCAUGGGUGUUUAUGGAACCUCAAAAGAUACAUUGGAAGCACGACAGGACCUGAAAGCCAUGGGGCAACGAGAUGACCUACAUCCGGAAAAGAGAGAUAAUGGACAGCACUACUUACGUCCUGCCAGUUACACUCUCAGCAAGGAGGAGAAGGAUAGCAUGUUUGAAUACUUGAAUAGUAUGAAGGUCCCGUCUGGGUACUCCUCGAAUAUAAAGGGAAUAAUAAAUAUGAAACAAAAGAAGUUUACAAAUCUCAAGGCUCAUGACUGUCACAUGUUGAUGACCCAGUUGCUUCCGGUUGCACUGAGGGGUGUUCUACCAGAAAAUGUCCGGUUGCCGCUCGUAAAGCUAUGCGCGUUUCUCAAUGCAAUUUCGCAGAAGGCAAUCGAUCCAUCCAAGCUAUCAAAGCUACAGAACGAUGUGGUGCAAUGUCUUGUCAGUUUUGAGUUGUUAUUUCUACCAUCCUUCUUCAAUAUUAUGACGCACUUACUGGUUCACCUAGUAAAAGAGAUUGGUAUUCUCGGACCUGUAUACCUGCACAAUAUGUGGCCUUUCGAGAGGUUCAUGGCAGUCCUAAAAAACUAUGUUCGUAAUCGUGCCCGUCCAGAAGGAAGCAUCGCCAGGGGAUAUGGAACAGAGGAGGUGAUCGAGUUUUGUGUUGAUUUUAUUGAUUCAAUUGACUCGAUUGGGGUUCCAACUUCACGCCACGAGGGGAGGCUCCGAGGAAUGGGCACCCUUGGAAGGAAAUCAAGUUUGAGCAAUGAUACUGAUUUGUUCGACAAGGCACUCUACACUGUUCUACAACAGUCAUCCUUUGUGUCUCCGUAUAUCGAGCAGCACAGGCAGAUGGUAGCUUCCAAAAACCCGACCAAAUCCGAUGCUUGGCUUACCCGUCAUCACAUGGAAACUUUUCCCUCCUGGUUGCGCCAACAACUUAUGGGUAACUCUGAGAUUCACCCACAGCUUGCCUGGUUAGCCAGGGGACCUGCUACCACAAUCGUCAAAUUCCAAGGCUAUGAGAUAAAUGGUUACACAUUUUACACGAGAGGCCAGGACCAGAAAAGCACGAACCAGAAUAGUGGUGUCCGCAUAGAUGCCAUGGACAGAAAUAAUAGCAAGGAGUCGUAUUAUGGUUUCAUACAGGAGAUAUGGGAACUCAAAUACGGACCGCUGUACAUCCCUCUAUUUCUUUGCAAUUGGGUGAAGCUAACUGCCGUCACCAAAGAUCAGUACGGAAUGACAAUAGUAGAUCUGAGCAAGACUGGAUACAGUGAUGACCCAUUCGUACUUGCCAAUGAUGUGCAUCAGGUGUUCUAUGUGAAGGACAUGUGCAGCAAACCCAAGAGGAAUCCAGAAGAGACAUGGGAGCCAAAGUGCCACAUAGUUCUUCUAGGUAAAAGAAAAAUCGUGGGAGUCGAGGAUAAAACAGACCAAUCAGAUGAUUAUGAUCAGUUUGAUGGCAUGCCUCCAUUCGCCGUUGAAGUUGAUCCAAGCAUCCUGCUAUCCAAAGAAGAGGCUCCGUACUUACGCCGCGAUCAUGAUCAGGGAACUUUCGUGAAGAUGAAAUUUUACAACGUUGUAUUGUAAUGCGUUAAAUGUACAUGACCUUUGUGUAUUAAUUGAUACAAUUUGUAAUUUACCCUAUGUAUGAUUUCAUGUGUUAUUAAAUUUGUUAGGUGAAGAUUUUUUAGAUAUACAUGAACAUUGUUAACCACAUACUAACAUGGAUUUUUCUGCGCAUUCAAAUAAUUUAAUUGAAUAAUUUAUUGAUCACAGCAAUGCAGUAAAAUAAAUAUUUUACAGGCUACAUGAGUUGGUAUAGAAAUAAUGAUUACUUCAUACUUAUUGUCAAUUUACUCGUUAAUUAAAGAUAUUUUUGCAUGUACAAAAUCUGUGAAGGUUUUGUUUUUCAUCCUGAAAUGCAGUGAAAAGGUAAAAUAAAAUCCAUUUCCAAAAAACAGGCGGGAGAAGAAAAAUAGGAAAAAAGACCUUUUGUCCCGGGUGCUAACAGCAACCGGGACAAAAGGCCCCCCUUUAUCCCGGUUGCCGGAUAAAAGGGUACGUUUCGUCUCCUGCCCGAACGUACCCUUUUAUCCCGGUUGCCCCCCCUUUUAUCCCGGUUGGUGACGGGAACCGGGACAAAAGGCUCUUUUGUCCCGGGUCCCAUUACGAACCGGGAUAAAGGGGGGGGGUUAAAAGGCACUGUACUCCCUUCUACCCCCCGCCAGUUCCACACUUAGCGAAAAUUUCGCAAGUCCCGCGCUCUCCGCCGUCGCCGCCCGUCCGCCUCCCUCGCCGGCCGCCGCCGCCGUCGUCCCCCAUUGUGCCGUCGACGUCCCGCAUUGCGCCGUCGUCGUCCCCCGGCCGGCCCUCCUCGAUCCCCUCCUCGUCCGUCGACGGGCCCAGCCCCCGGCCACCUUGUCGCCGGCUGCAUCCUCGUCGCCCCUCGUCGCCGGCUCCAUCCUCGUCGCCCCUCGUCGCCCCUCGUCGCCGACCCUUGUAGCCGCCGUCGUCGUCUUCGCCUCGGCCGCCGUCGUCCCGCCGUCGUCGUCUUCGUCCUCGUCGCCGCCCCGGCCGCCGCUGUCCCGCGCGCCGCCCGGCCGCCGCCGUCCCGCCGUCCCGCCGCCCCGGCCGCCGCCGUCCCGCCGACCCGGCCGCCACCCCGCGCGCGAGAGGUCUGCCGUGCCGGCCGGCAGCGCCGGGAGAGGGUUUUCUUUUAAUUUUGUUUUAUUUUUAGAUAGAAUUGUAAUUUUGUUAAGUUAGAUUUUUAGAUUUCUAAUUUUGUUAAGUUAGAUUUUUAGAUUUCUAGUUAGUUUGUUAAGUUAGAUUUCUAGUUAGCUUGUUAAGUUAGAGUUGAUACAGAGAUCGCCGAGUAGCCGUCGUGAUCGCCGCCGUCCCGCCGAGUAGCCACCGUGAUCGCAGCCGAGUAGCCGCCGUGAUCGCCGCCGUCCCGCCGCCCAUCACAACCUAGUAGGCAACCUAGUAGGCACCGCCCGUGGUUUCGGUGAACCGCCUCCGCCGUACCGCCGCCCUGACCGCCGCCGUCCCGCCUCCGCCGCCCUUAUCGCCGCCGUAGAAAUUCGUCAAAAUUCGUAGAAAUUCGUCAAAAUUCGUAGAAAUUCGUAGAAAUUUGUAGAAAUUCAUAGAAAUUCGUAAAAAUUUGUAGAAAUUCAUAGAAAAUUCGUAGAAAUUCGUCAAAAUUCGUAGAAAUUCGUCAAAAUUCAUAGAAAUUUGUAGAAAUUCGUAGAAAUUCGUAGAAAUUCAUAGAAAUUUGUAGAAAUUUGUCAAAAUUCAUAGAAAAUUGUAUAAAUUCAUAGAAAUUUGUAGAAAUUCAUAGAAAUUCAUAGAAAUUCAUAGAAAUUCAUAGAAAUUCAUAGAAAUUCGUCGAAAUUCAUAGAAAUUUGUAGAAGUUUGUCAAAAUUCAUAGAAAAUUGUAUAAAUUCAUAGAAAUUCAUAGAAAUUUGUAGAAAUUCAUAGAAAUUCAUAGAAAUUCAUAGAAAUUUGUAGAAAUUCAUAGAAAUUUGUAUAAAUAUUCCGGACUUUGUACGAUUCAUGUUAUUUUAUGAUUUCAUUAUAUACAUGUAUGAUUCCGGACUUUGUAGGACUUUGUACAAAUUUGUAUUAAGACGAUUUCUAUGACUGUCAUGUAUGAUUCCAUGUAUGUUUCCAUCAAUAGUUGAAAUGGCAGACGAUGAGACCGCAAGGUAUAUCAUGGAGCAGAUAAUCGCUGGUGAUGGUAGUGGCGACAACGUUCCACUAUCAUACACGGAUGAAGAGGGCACCCAGGCGGACAUGUUCCUCAACAUGUCCGCCGAUGGGAAUGAAGAGCAACAGCCGCAGCAACAACUUGCCGUGGCGGAAGGUUCCGGCGAGGUAUAUACAACCAUUCUUGUAUUGUUUCACGCCACCGCUACUACUACGUACUAAUUAACGAAUCUUGAACUGUUAGCCCUCCGGAUCGACACAAGGGCAGAAGACCCGAGGUCGUACAAAGGUGAUGGAAGGGAGGCUUGUCAUCACCGAAGUUACAGAAGAGGGCAGGCCGGUUGCCCCCGAGAAAGUAGCAAAGAAGUACGUUAGUCAAAUCGGGGCAAUCGUCCGGGACAACGUGCCUAUCAGCAUCAGAGAAUGGAAGGGCAGAAGCGAUAAUCCGUACGCCCUUCCAGAGACAGAAAAGAAUAUGCUGUGGGAAGACGUGAAGAGAUAUUUCACAUUCCCCGAAGGAUAUAGCGAGAAGGAUGUCAAAGCGUGGACGCUUAAGAAGAUGGCUACUCAAUUCCAGACAUUCAAGAAGAUGCUGGACACCCACUACAUCAAGAAGGGCAAAACUCCAGACUUCAACGCAUGGCCAAAGUUGAGGGACCACUGGGAUGCAUUUGUUGAAUACAAGAGGAGUGAAGAAGGUGUGAAAAAGAUCACGACCAACGUUGCAAAUGCUAGUCAGAAGGGCUACCACCAUCAUUUGGGGCGAGGUGGGUAUGGCUCAGCAAUUCCCAAGUGGAGGAAGAUGGAACAAGAUCUGAUCGAACGGGGAAUCAUACCUGCAACUAUUGAAUGGCCCGAACGAUCAAAGAACUGGUACUACGCUCAUGGAGGCUCCCUAAGCCAAGAGGAUGGGACACUGAUUUUCAAUGACACAAUACGUGAGAAGGCCGAACAUCUCAUGAAGAACAUUGAAGAUUCCAAGGCUGGGAGGUUGAGGGUGGACCGAGAAAAUGAUGAGCUCACAUUGGCCCUCGGUAAUCCAGAGCACCCAGGACGUUGCCGGGGGUUCGGGGUUGUUCCGUGGAAGUUCGCUUUCCGAGAUGCCAGCGCCUCUUACAGAAGCCGGAAGCGAAGAAAGGAACAGAUGGAGGAGAGCUGGCGGCAGAUGCUAGAACAAAGAAUGAUGGAUGAAAUCAAUCGGCGGGUGGCCGACGCAGUUGCGGAGUUGGCGCAAUCUGGAGCAAUGCCGAAUCCUCACACCGCCAGCCCUUCUCAACGCCUCGGGAGCAGUUGUGCUUCUACAGGGGUCCCCGAUGCGCAGACGCCCAGGUUACCCGUGGAGGAGCAACGGUUCCCCGUGGAUGCCAUCACGCAACGGACCUCAUGUGAGCUGCAUGCACCGGUCGGCAACCUCACUAUUAAGGUAUACUUAUACAUAAUAUUUAUGCAAUCUUGUCAAUUGAUCCAGGCCUCGAGAUCGGAGUUCAACUUGUUUACUUCUGCUAUAUGUACAGGUAGCGUACGGGAGUGCGUUACCAACGCUGGCAGGGCAGAGCAGUCAUGGCAUGGACAUUCCAACAGGCUACGCCAGCGUCUGCGUCGAGCAAAUAGUAGAUGCCCAGUAUGAAGCCCUAGAGCUCGACUUCCCGGGAGUCGACGGGGAAAAGACAUUGGCCGAUGCGCUUCAUGGGAUCAUUCUAUGGAAGAAACGCUACAUCAUUUUUCCCCGCACGGAGCCAUCUCCUCAGACCUCAAGACCGCUCCCCGUAGAUCCCAAGCAGCGACCUUCUCCUCAUACCUCGAGACCGGCAUCUCCUGCUCCAGGACCGUCUCUUCCAUCUAUAUCAAGGUCUCCAUCUCCACCACAUCCUGGUGCUGGGAGCGACGACGACAAUAACAACACCCCUCCCCGAUCACCGUCGCCGGCACCAAGAGCGGCCCCCUCGAAGGAACCUGCAGCACCACUCAAGAAGUCACGAGCACCGCCUCCCAAGCAAAGACAGCAGAGAAAGAAGAAAACAAAGGUCGACCCUGAAGUGGCUCGCAAGGAACGCUUUGAGGCAAUGUCUCAUGCGGAACAGUGGGCAGAAAUCCAACGAGAGGCCAGUGAGUGGUUCAAGAAACAAGUCGAAUUAAAAAAGGCAAGGGAGAUGCAGCCACCGCCAGUAAGUCGGCGAGAUUUAAACUUUUUUAUCAGGAUGGAGGAAGGAGCCAAGAAAAGGAUACCACUCUUGUCAAACUAUGAACGGGCUCUAGUAAAGGCUGAUGAAAAGGAUAAAAGAAAAGGAAAAUCAUCCUCCAGCGGUCCAGUCCCCGACCUCAGCCAUUUAUCAAAAAAAGAUGCUCAACGGGUAAAAGCAAUGCCCUUGGAUCAACAAACAAAUAUAUUGAAGUUCAUGGAAGAAACAGGUCUGGGACUUGAUGAAUGCAUAGGGCAAGUCGAGACGCCAACUGCACCGCCCCCUGAGCCGAGAUGGCCUUAUGAGCUAGGCAAACCUCUAGUAAAGCCUUCAAUGCUACGGAAGCUAUCAACAAAGAUGUACGAAUUCCAUCAAUGGUACAUGAUGGCAUCCGCCAACUCGAGGGAGAUGAUCGGCAUGAAGGUAAAACCGAUAGAUUUUCACGGUGAAGGGGAGAAAGUGCUGUGGCUAGACUUCAAGGAUAUAUAUGAAGUGUACCAUCAUGAUGCCCUGGACGUCUCUCUGAUCAGCGCUUGGAUUCUGUAAGUGUCCGUUUAUUAUCUCUACAUGUAAAUUUUGACGUGCGUCACCGUACUAACUUCAUCUUCCAUUUCAUGUAGGAUGCUAAUUCAGACAUGCCGCCGAGAGGCGUACCUACAUGUAGGCUUCAUGGAUCCAUCUGUAGUUAACCAACAACAGAUACAAUUAGUGCCGGAAAAAACCUUGGUGGAAGUAUACAAUUUCCUAGACAAACAAACAUUCAAGGAUUUCAUACUACUUCCAUACAACUUCAAGUAAGUGUGUGUAUACCGUCUACUUUCGAUGUCUUUUUCCUUAUCUCUACAUGUUAGUUAGCUCUAAUAUGCAUGAACAUUUUACGCACGCAGCUUCCACUGGAUACUUAUUAUAAUUGAGCCUGAAAGAAGCCACGUCACUGUCUUUGAUUCGUUAAGGAAAGAUCCGGUGGACUACCAAGAAUUGCAAGACAUGCUAGGCUUGUAAUAAUUCUGGACCUUUAUCUCUAUGCAAAAAUUUAUUUCCUAAAUUUUAUCCCUGUUACACUAUGUCAUUCAUUAUUCUAAUCCGCAGCGCAUGGAAACAAUUCAUAAGGACACACAAAGGUCCAUUCAAAGAAAAUCUUACAUGGAACACAGACUUCCCGGUACGUAUGAAGUCUGCACAUUUAUUACAUUGUAUAACACAAAUAGUUCAUAACUUAUUUUUUUCCGCACUGAAGUGCUUAAGACAGGAACCCGGGAAUAAUCUAUGUGGCUACUACAUCUGUGAGCACAUGCACAGUUUUUUGGGACCCAAGGGACCCAAAGUACGUAAAAUAAAUAUAUUACUAGUUAAUUAUUUUCUAGCUCCUUAUAUGUAUUUGUUCAUGUAACAUUCACAAAUUUCCAAAUUAUAGAUGUUAAAUAUUCAACAAGGACUCUUGAAGGAAGAAAGAGUAGCGGGAAUAUGUGAAGGUCUCAUUGGAUUCAUAAUGGACGAGGUGGUAAAUCCAAGAGGAGAAUUUUAUUACGAUGGACGACAAUUAGACACUCCGAUCAGCAACACCACGACGGGAAGAUCGUAGGAAGAUACUUUGAUUUAUUUGUAUAUAUAAUACGCGCUAAUUAUGAUCGAUUUGUACUAAGCUAUUUGAAUUGUGUAUAAGGAUUGUGUAUAUAUAUAGUAAUUGUAUAAUUGCAAAUCCCAUUCGUUUAAAUACUAGUUGAUUUCGUUCUAAAAAAAUCUCAACUACAAGGUUAACAAAUUAAAAGGGCCGCGGUACUACUAUACGUAUACGUGAUGCAUGCAUGAAAAAUUCAGGCGUCACGGCAGUGCCAUGCAAGCGCCAUUUAGUCCCGGUUGGAAUUGAGCCGGGACUAAAGGGGGUCCUUUACUCCCGGUUAAAAGACCCGGGACUAAAGACCCCCCCUUUUGUCCCGGUUGGUUUAUCCCGGAUGGAUAUCCGAGAGAUAUGCACCCUACCAACCGGGACUAAAGGUCAAUUCUCUACCAGUGAGGACUCGACUACCUCCUCCUCCUAGUCAUCGCCUCUCAUGACUUCCCGUGUAAACAAACGAGGGGCGGCUUCACAGACAUCUUCAGAUCCGGGAGGAGUAGGAGCGGAGAAGUACAAAGCAACAUCUUCCUGCAAAAUGAGACAAGUCAAUUGACUAGUAUAUUCAAAAUAAGUACUCGGGGGUGUAACAUCUGCAAAAUCACCAACCUAAAAUCACCCGUUAAAAAUUUCUUUUAAAAUCUUUUCACCGCUGAGCUCCCGGAAAUCUAAAAUCUCCCUGGCGAUUUCGCCGUCCCGACACCUAAGCCGACAGCCAUCAUCUUUACCUGUGCCCGUAUUUUCCGUCGCGUGCUAUCGUCAGACGCCGCGCGCGUGCUCCAACCGCGUGCCGCGAACGCCGCCGGUCCCCCUCUUUUUCUUUCUCGUUUUCCCCCUCCCCAUUUGUUUUUCUUUUUCCUUCUCCUUUCUUUUCCUUCUUUCUUCUUCCUCCUUCCCUCUUCUCUCUCCUCCUCUUCCUUCUUCCUGGCGCCCGCACACCCGGCCCCAACUCCUUUACUCCCCGGCGCCCACCCUUCCUGGCGCCAUACCGCCGGCCGACCCGGCCCCUCCGAGCGCUUGGGGCCCGCUCCGCCCAGCUCGGCGCCGGCCACGCCGGCGCCUCUCUCGGGCCGCGCGCCCGACUCGGCCCCCGGCCGCCUGCACCACCUGCUCCGGCGCCGGCCGCCCCAGCCCCGCACGCCGCCCCUCCUACGCCGGCCGCCUUGGCCCCGUACCACGCCGCCCGCCGCCGGCCCCUACCUCCUCGCCCCGGCACGCCACCGAUGCUGUGCCGCCAAGACCAUCCCGCCGGCCGCCCGGACCCCUACCGCCGGCACCAUCCUCGCCGGCCUAUAAAAGGCCUCGACGCCCGGCCUCCCUUGCCACUCCACCACCGUCCCAGCUCGCCACCCGACCUACACUACUCGCCAAGCGCCGCCGCCACCGGUACCUCCGCCGCCCGUGCGCCAACCGCCGCCGCCUCCACCGAACCACUGCCGGCCGCCCCUUCCCUAUCCGAAGCUCCAAGGUAUCGGUCAAAAUGGAGCCCCCACGGCCUCCUCUAGCCUCUCUUGCCGCCUCCCCUCGCUGCCGGCGAGCUUGGGCCGCCGCCCCUCCCUCCCAUCUCCUCUGUUCCGGUACAGAAAGAAAGGAAGAAGAAACCCCUCCUUUCCGAUCUAACCCCAAAGAAUCUACUAUUCGCGAAAUAGUCCUUCCACCACUCUCAUAAACCUAUUCGUGGAUAAGCCCCUCCACCUCCAAAAGUAUUCACAAAUAGGUCCUUGGUUUAUCGCAAAUCAGUCUUAAACCUCCUUUUUAAGCCCUUAAGCCAUGUUUAACUCGUCAUUUCAUGCGCCAAACUUCCUCCAAUUAAUCCCAAAGUUUACCACGUCAUCCUCCAAAAUACUUUCGCCGAUCCAUAUCCAAAUUUCCCAAAAAUAAUCUUUCUACCUAUUUUCCGUUCACAUUUUCUGUUCGGAGCUCACGGUUAAAAACCGAUUUUUCUUUUAUUUAUUUGUGUGCCCAUUUGUGUGUGCCGUAGAUCGCGGAUUACCCGAGGAGGAGCCCGAGGAGGAGUGUGACCGCGAGCUCGAGCCCGAGGACCAGCAGCACGAACCGGAACUCCCGGAAGGCUUUGAAGACGGCAAGUCUAAUCUCACCCUUUGAUGCAUACUUAAUACCUAGUUUUUCAAACACAAACUAUUGGCCUAUUUUAUAAAAUGCAUAUUAUUUUAUUUUAUUGCAAGACAUGGUUGGAUAGCCACCCCUUGAUUGUUAUGAACAUUCCUUGUUAUCCUAUGGUUGUCCCUAAAUAUGACCUGCUCUAUUUAGGCGAUAACCACCGCUAGAACGCUUAGGAAACUGCUACUUGAUUUUGAUCAUUAAUACAAUGGUUUGAUUGAAAGAUAAGAGAGUGUGUGUGUGUCCACUUGGGAAAAUGGCUUUCCGGGUUCAAAGGAAAAGGAUGUGUAGACAGGAUGGAUGGGUAUUUCUUGUGUGGACUGCCAGGGUGUUGUGCUCGUACCUUAGUGGUUGAGCGAGGUCGGGAGAUAUCCAUCCUGUCAUGGUUAAGGACCGAGUUGAUGUGUCAUCUUGCCUAAUUCCACCAUCGUGCAACCACUCGACCGUUGUAUGGGCAACGGCUUAGCAUAAAUCCCACUAGCUACACUGUUAGUCCUCAGGGGUGCUGGCGAGCAACGGGAACCCAUGGAAAAGGAGUAAGAUCUUGGUGACUUAGGUCCCGGUUACGGUCUCGUGGAUGAGUCGUGAACCCCUUGGGUGCUUCCGUGAGGACUAGCCAGUCUCAGCUAAGGUGGGUAAUGGCUUUGUUAGGAUCCGCACCGGCACUAAGGUGAUCGUACUGCAGUACCCUACUUGUGGGAAAAGUGUACAACCUCUGCAGAGUUAAAACCUAUCCGGGUAGCCGUGUCCACGGCAUUGGAUGAGUUACGGCUUGGUCACAUAACUAGCACUUGGGCAUGGUUGUCGCGUGUGUGUGUGUGCGUGUGUGUGUUGGAUUUUGGAAGUGUCCGGCAGUUGUGUCGUGUGCUAUGGCGGACGGGAAGUCCGAUAGCGAUAAAACUUGGAUACUUUGUGUAGGAUCAACCCCACUCAUUGUUUCGGUUACUAAAGAACAGCUUUAUGAAAACUCGUUGAAAAUAAGCCCAUGCGUGUGUUAAAAAUCUAGCUUUCCCGCAAUUGGACUCUAGCCUCUUCCUUGCUAUAUCCCCGUGCCAUAACUGCUUGUACCCCCCCCCCCCCCCCCCCGUGGAUGGGGUGUGGACUUGUUGAGUACGUUCAUACUCACCCUUGCUUCAUCACCGAGGACCUUGAGUAGAGGUUGUGUCUGCACCCAACGCUGCCUGUGGUGUUGGCCUUUCCAGGAUGCUGCUGCUGCCGUGUAGUCCCGAGUGCUGUCUUUUGGCAGUCGCUUGGUUAGCCGCUGUUGUGUAUUUAUUUCUUAUCGCUGCGUGGCUUUCACGCCCACUCCCUCGGGAGUUGUACGGUAACUGAACUAUCUGUCGAAUAAAUGUGUUAUCAGCCUCCUGGGACUGAUAUUUGUAUCACAUUUAGUCUCUACUUAUGUGGGGACGCUUCAGGGGGCCACGGUCAUGAGUACUUACAGGCUUUGGCAAGUGUGAGGCGCUGAAUUCCCGCAUAAUAGUGGGGAUCCCGCCUAGGUUCUUGAAUAUUCGCUUGAGCCUAACGAUAAUUUCAUUUGUGCUGAUUUCAUCAGGAGAGAAUCUGGAUGAUCAUUAAGGCCGGUAUACUCGUAGCCAUAAGGGCAUUGCUGUUGUAGAGGCUGGAUGUGGCGUUUCAUAAAGCUAAAGGCUACUCCAAUUCCAGCAAGCCCUUCCUAUUUCAACUGGGCAAUUCUACCAAUCAACUCGGGCAACUGCAGGCAAUCGCCAUGCUUUGGCUCAUCAAGCCACCUAUUAUUCCAAGAGGGACAAUGUCCUGAGAGUUUGGGUAGUUUUGGAUUAUAGUUGCCAAUAUAAUAUCAUUUUUCUUUCCACCCAGCAUUGGAGUCUAUCAGUUCAUAAUCCAAAUACUGGCUGCUUACUGUCUUCCGCAUCUGAAUUCCGAUGCCUCCAACGAACAACGUGUGUUCUCUUGAGGGUUGUGGCUUCACAUGGGAAAAACUUCUGGAAUAACUGAAAGUACGGCUUGAUAUCUAGAAAAGCUUCACAGAAGUGGAUGAAAAUAGCAGUAUGGAAAAUUUCAUUGCUAUUCAGAUGCACCAACUCUUACUUGUAGUAAUCAAGAAGACCCCGGGAGAAAUCACAGGUGGUCAAUCCAAGGCCUCACUCAAUGAAGUGCAGAAAGGUUACCAUCUCGUUUGGAUAUGAUUCCAGUGGGCAGGCAUUCCUGAAGGAGGAUCUCCACUAAAUAUAACACUGCUCUUGCAAUAGCUUUAUGGCGACAAGAGCUUUGAUGUCACCUUCGGCUGCUUUCGACUCUUUCCAGGCGCACACGGCAUUGGGUGGUACGGUCUAAUUGGUCUUGACAUACUUGGGCGCUAGCAACUGAGAAUCCUUCCCCUUGCCGGAUCUCCUUUUCUUUUUCUCAUCCUCGCGGGCUUGGAUGCAGCGAUCAUCCUCUCCAUCCUUGAUGUCACGAGCAUCUUUAGUCGCAUACGCUCGGGGGCUGCGUGGUGGGGGGCGGCGGCGCUAGUGUUCGAAGAUCGACCAGUGGCGGUGACGCUAGGGCUACAGUAUGGAGUUGGAAAGGCAAAUGGUAAGGGUAAAACAGAAGGGAUAACUGUGCAAGUGAAUGUAUUUCAAUUUAAAGGAUCCCUAGAAUUCAGGAAACCUGAUUGGUGGUUAUUUUUAUUUUGGAAAGAAGAUUUGGAUAUUCCAAGAGAUUGUCACGUUGACCAAAUUUAACCCUUAUACCUACCAAACUAGUUGGCUAAAGGCUCGGGGGUUGUGUGCCACGUGUCCAUCGACAAAAAGUUUUUUUCGGGUUUUAAGGGGAAAGUGAUGCAAAUUAUAGAUUGACCAUAAGCUUGAUUCUCCGAUUCAACCUAAGGCUCAGGGGCUACUCUAUAUGGAAUGCGACUUUCAUCGCACUUCCAUAUAAAAUUCAAGGUUGAAGCAUGCAAGACUAAGUUAAAUGAGGCUUGAGCACAUUCUAGUCGCAUGACAGCUUUUGGUACCUUUGAAGAUUGAACCAGAUGAAGUACUCGAAGAGCAUCAAAACAAGUUGGUGAAGUCUACAAAAGUACUCAGAACUGCUGCAUUUGACUAAAAAGUACUCGAGGGCUUGUCGUACAUACAUCUAUUGGCCCACCAGAAGGUUGGACAGACCCAAAUAUGAGGCUGGACACCGAAAUGCAUCUGACAUGGAGACCAUGGCGCAGGACAGCAUAAUCUACAAUGAAAGACAGAAACUAUUCAAGGAUUAGGAAAGCGUAGGCUUCUUCUAGUCGGAUAGUCGUAUCCGACUAGUAUUGUUGUAACCAACCGACCAGUAACCCUACCCCCGACUAUAUAAGGCGAGGCAGGGACCCCCUCCAAAGCAAUUCAAUCCAACCAACACACAUGACGUAGGAUAUUACGCAAUCUAGCGGCCUGAACCUGUCUAAAUCGUGUGUCUGCGUUUACCUUCGAGUUCCUGAUCUCGAUGAGGCCCACCAACCAAAACACUACCUUUGGCACCCCUUGGUAGGUUGCCGGAUCUAAACACUGACACCACUUUCACGCAAAUUUGCAUGUUGAACCCUCACGACAACGUACGUUUGUUAUAACUAACAUUGGAAUCUUUUAAAGAGUUAAAGACAUGAAUUUCACAUAAAUCAGUUCAAUUCAUAUUCAGAGUAAAAUUAAAACAUCCCACACUCCUACGGAGGCCUUAAUAAACAUUGUGGAAACGGGUUAAAAGGUGACACGGAAAAAUUGACGGGCCGGGCACACGACGCAUGUCACCACUAAUGAGACAAGUAGCGGACACCUAUAACGCCCGUCCAUGUCUAGCUAGAUCGGAGACUAACUAACACCAGUCACCUUUGACUUAUAAAAAGUGAUGCUCAUUUUCGAUAUACUUGCCUGUGUUUUUUUUACUUAGAUCAAUUAUUAGAUAUCACAAGCUUGCAGACACCGUUUGGCCACGACUGUUGCCAUCAACAGCUUACGAUUUUGGCGAUUUUCAACCGAAUUUCAUGGAUUUGAAGUCGGAUUCGUCCUUGGCCCUUAAAGGACGCAUCUCCCUCUUGAACAUCUUUUCCUCCUCUCCUCCCUUCUCAUCAUGGUCCUAUCUGAGACUUAGCAGAAGUUGGAUUUUUGCAUAUCUUAAAGUUGUAUGUACCUAGAGGAAGCUGUUGCUGUCCAGAGUACUUACCAAGUUGAAGUCUUUCAUGGAGGCCUUGUAGGCGGAUAUGAAAGCUCAUGGUAAAUUGACAAUGUAUUGUUCAUGCCCCGUUUACAUGAAUGAUAGAAAGUUCAUGCAAUUAGGCAAUGUCCACACACUUUUGGCCAUGCGUGGAUCUAAAGAAAAUCAUACAUGUUGGAGCAAGAACGACAACCAAGGGGUACGGGGACUGCUGCUUGGGUGGGGUUGGGGGGGGGGAAAACUGAAGAUAACCCUUUACAGAUGUCCUUGGGGAACCAGAAAAAGCAGACCAUGUUGGAGACUAAAAGAGAUUACAAAUUAACAAAAACUAUUUCUCUGGGUAGUGGCUUCAUCGUUAAAGCGUCUAACCUUUUGAAUGAUUUCGAGUGGGUUGAACUUCUCUGUGGUCGAUGCCUAUCACCUCUUGGGUCAUACCCUUCUCAGGGUUCACUUGUUCCGGCUGAUGGCCGUCUACGACUCUUUCAAGUGCUACACAUCUACAGAACUUCCUGUUAUGGGGCCUCAUGAUGUGUUUAGGUAACUUUCUGCACUGCUUCUUAGAUUUGAGAUACAUGUUUGACUUUCACUCAAAAAUCACAACUCUGAUUAUGGUGUCCAAAGGAAAAUACUGANNNNNNNNNNNNNNNNNNNNNNNNNNNNNNNNNNNNNNNNNNNNNNNNNNNNNNNNNNNNNNNNNNNNNNNNNNNNNNNNNNNNNNNNNNNNNNNNNNNNCCAGGGGUUUGUACGAGAUUGGAAGAAACCCUAUUAUCCUAAUUGUAAGAAGUACACACACCUAAUUGGGGACCUAAAGCUUUUGCAACAAAAGACAAUUCUUGUCUGGACGAAUAAUAAGAGUUCCAAAGCACUAGGGCACAGGGGUGGAUCUAGGAUCCGGACUGGGGGCUGUAGCUCGGGACCAGCCCAGGUGUCCCUUGCACAACCAUGUUGGUCAUCACGAAGCCAGGUAAUUAAUAAUGAGUUCUAUGAUGUGUACUCAAGAAAAAAAAAUGGUUCAACAGGCUAAUACUACCUCGGUCCGCUAAUAUAUGAUGUUGGUUAGUUUAUUUUUGAGAUAGCCGACGUCAUAUAUUAAAGGAUGGAGAAAGUAUUAGGCUAGUUCGUAAAUUCUGUCUCCUAGCUUGUUGCCUUUGUGAUAUGGUCCCUUUUUUUUUGAUACUAACCAGAGCACAAACUAGUUUAGCGUGGGUCCAAGCCAAUUUCUGGAUCCGCCCCUGCUACGGCAUCCGCUAAAGAACAUGCUAUUGAAGGGGAAUGAGGUGCCGAGGUCUGUGUACGAGGCGAAGAAGAUAAUUGUCAUUUGGGAUUGGAAGUAGAAUAAGAAAAAUAUAGGUAGAGGAUAAAAUAUAGGUCGGGUACUCCCUUGCCGAUUUCCUAAAAAAGAAUAAGAAAAAUACAUGCUUAUAAGGAGAAUUGUGUAAUGUUUUGUGGAGAGUACACUAGUAGAGAAUUGGCUUUCGAUGCGCCCCCUUUUGUCCCGGUUUAAAGUUGGCCCGGGACUAAAGGGGGUGCGCCACGAUAGGCAAAAAUGGGGGGGGGGGGGUUAGUCCCGGUUGGUAAUUGCAACCGGGACUAAAGGCCCCCCUUUAGUCCCGGUUGCAACGGCUAGCUGGGGUGCGUCGGUGGCGGUACCAUUUUAUCCUUGUUGGAGCCUCCAACCGGGAUACAAAGUUUAGUCCCGGUUGGAGCCUCCAACCGGGAUAAAAGGGUGUUCCUUUUGUCCCGGUUGGAUCCUCCAACUGGGACUAAACUUUCAACCGGAACAAAAGGUGUUCCCUUUUAUCUCGGUUGGAGUUUUUAACCGGGAUAAAAACUCAUCCCCCAUUAUAUCCCGAGACAGAGGACUUUCUUCCUCCUCCAACCCGAGCUAGUCCAGCACAUUGACAGAGAGCUGAGCUUCACCUACUCUCCGGUGGUGCCGAAGCAAGGGAGGUGCUGCCCGAAGUUUUUUCCCUCAUUUUCGUGGGAAUUUGACUCAGCCAACACAAGUGUUGUGAAGGUUUGCUACUUCAUCCUCGUGUUAUGCUUUGAUUUAUGCUUUGGAGAUGGAAAGAUUAUUUGCUAGAAUGUGAUGAAGUAGAAAAUGGAGAGGUAUUUUGAGGUAGAAUGUGAGGGAGAUUGAUGUGUCAUAUAUAGUAUGCAUUCUUGCAGUAGUUUAAGAAUGAUGCUACCUUGUCUAGACGGUUUAUCUUAUCAAAUUCAAUAUGAUUUUUUAAAUCCAUACUUGUUGAACUUGCAUACCGUGUUCAUCUCUCCGAGGAUGUUCUCCGCCGAGCAGCAACGUAUGUCAAGAAGGAGGUUCGAUUCUACGAGAAAGAGUGGAUACGGACAUCGUGACCGUGUCCCCUUUUCCGUAGAAUUGAACCUCUUUCAUGACGAAGUGCAGUGCCGCCCAGUUGAGGACAUGCUCGCGAGAUAAUCACGGUCUUCAAGUUCAACAACUUAUGCAGUGUUAAGGUAAUAAUUUUUGUACAUAGAUGGCUUCUGCUACUGGAGGAAGUGGCGAUGGUGGGGGCGAUCGUGGUUCCUAUUUCGGCAAGGGGAAAAUCAUAGUUGGCCCUCAGCAUAAGCCGAAGAAAAAGAGCGCGCUGGAAAAAGUAAUGCUUCGUUAUUUGCAGCAACGUCAUGAAGAAUCUGUUGCCGCGGGUCAGGAACCUCCUUUUGGUGGUCGUUAUGCUCCACCCUCAGUCCCGGAUGUUUCACGUCCACUUAGUACUACCGUUUCAGGCGGCACAAAUAAACCUAAGGAUGAGGCUGGGUCAGCGGAACCUUCAUCUUCACCGUCCAAGGAUGCUUAAAGUCCUCCUAGAUAAUAACUAGUGGAUGGCUUGUUGUAUUGUAUCAUGUUGUUUGGAACUUUAAUUUAAAUAUGUGUAUUUGGAUCUUCAUGUUGUUGUAUUGUACCAUGUUGUUUGGAUCUUUAAUCAAUUUUCACGCGUAAUCCAUUGUCAAGUGUAAUCCAUUUUCAUGCGUAAUACGAUGCAGAUGGACCGGCAAUGGAUGUAUAAUGCAGACAGGCGGAGCAAGGUGUUUAUUGAUGGCUUGCAUUAUUUUCUCGAAGUGGCCAAAGCGAACAAGCUAGAGAAUGGGUUCGUAUGUUGUCCAUGCUUCCAAUGCAAUAACAAGAAGGAGUAUUCAAAGGAUUCCUGGGGGACUAUUCACAGCCACUUGUUUAAAUACGGUUUCAUGCCUAACUAUUUGGUUUGGACCAAGCAUGGUGAACUAGGGGUCGUAAUGGAAGGUGGCGUGGAGGAGGAGGAAGAUGACACCAUUCCGGACUGGGUUGCAGGCCAAGCUUUUGCAGGUACUACAAUGGGCGAGGCUGAUGAAGAUGAGUUUGCAGAAAAUAGCCCUACUGAUGACCUUGGUCAGGUGAUACGAGAUGCAUACAGAGAUUGCGAAACUGAGAAGGAAGCAGCAAAGUUGCAGCGCAUGAUAGAUGAUCACCAAAAAUUGUUGUACCCAGGUUGCUAGCAGGGCCAUAAAAAACUAGGUACGACACUAGAAUUUGUGCAAUGGAAGGCCAAAAAUGGUGUGUCCGAUAAGGCAUUUCAGGGGAUGUUGAACAAUGUCAAGAAGAUUCUCCCCGAGAAUAAUGAAUUACCGUCCACAACAUAUGAAGCUAAACAGAUUAUUUGCUCUCUCGGAUUGAAUGUUCAGAAGAUACACGCAUGCCCUAAUGACUGUAUCCUCUAUCGUGGUGAUGAAUACGAGAAAUUGGAUGCUUGUCCCGUCUGCGAAGCCCUGCGGUAUAAGAUCAGGCGAGAUGAUCCUGCUGAUGUCGAGGGGCAGUCUCCUAAGAAGAGAGUUCCCGCGAAGGUGAUGUGGUAUUUCCCUAUAAUACCACGCUUGAAGUGCUUGUUCAGGAACAAGGCGAAUACUAAGUUGAUGCGAUGGCACAAAGAAGACCGUAAGGAAGAUGAGAUGCUGAGACACCCCGCAGAUAGGGCACAGUGGAGAUCAAUUGAUAGAGCAUUUCCGGACUUUGAAAGUGAAGCAAGGAACAUAAGGUUUGGUUUAAGUACUGAUGGAUUCAAUCCAUUCGGUGAGUUGAGUAGUGGCCAUAGUACUUGGCCUGUGACCCUUUGUAUGUUCAACCUUCCUCCUUGGAUGUGCAUAAAGCGGAAGUUCAUUAUGAUGCCGGCGCUUAUCCGAGGCCCAAAACAACCCGGCAACGAUAUUGACGUGUACCUAAGACCGUUGGUUGAUGACCUUUUACAGCUCUGGAAAGAAGAAGGUGUACGUGUGUGGGAUGAGGAUAGACAAGAGAUCUUUAAUCUACGAGCAUUGUUGUUCGUAACCAUCAAUGAUUGGCCUGCAUUGAGUAACCUUUUAGGACAGACAAAUAAGGGAUAUCGGGCAUGCACCCACUGUUUAGACGACACAGACAGCAUUUACUUGAAGCAUUGUAAGAAGGUCGUCUAUAUGGGUCAUCAUCGAUUUCUCCCUGCUCACCACCAGCUGAGAAAGAGCGGGAUGCAUUUCAAAGGGGCGCCAGACCAUCGUAAAAAACCUGCACACCGAAUGGAAAGCGUGUCUUCGAGAUGAUGAAGGAUGUAAAUGUAGUCUUUGGAAAGGUACAUGGUAGCCAACCUGUUCCAAACGACGAUAACGGACAUGCACCCAUGUGGAAGAAAAAGUCAAUAUUUUGGGAGCUAUCUUAUUGGGAAAUCCUAGAGGUUCGCAAUGCAAUAGACGUGAUGCACCUGACGAAGAAUCUUUGCGUGAACGUGCUAGGCUUCAUGGGUGUUUAUGGGACCUCAAAAGAUACAUUGGAAGCACGACAGGACCUGAAAGCCAUGGGGCAACGAGAUGACCUACAUCCGGAAAAGAGAGAUAAUGGACAGCACUACUUACGUUCUACUAGUUACACUCUCAGCAAGGAAGAGAAGGAUAGCAUGUUUGAAUGCUUGAAUAGUAUGAAGGUCCCGUCUGGGUACUCCUCGAAUAUAAAGGGAAUAAUAAAUAUGAAACAAAAGAAGUUUACAAAUCUCAAGGCUCAUGAUUGCCACAUGUUGAUGACCCAGUUGCUUCCGGUUGCACUGAGGGGUGUUCUACUAGAAAAUGUCCGGUUGCCGCUCGUAAAGCUAUGCGCGUUUCUCAAUGCGAUUUCGCAGAAGGCAAUCGAUCCAUCCACUAUCAAAGCUACAGAACGAUGUGGUGCAAUGUCUUGUUAGUUUUGAGUUGUUAUUUCCACCAUCCUUCUUCAAUAUUAUGACGCACUUACUGGUUCACCUAGUAAAAGAGAUUGGUAUUCUUGGACCUGUAUACCUGCACAAUAUGUGGCCUUUCAAGAGGUUCAUGGUAGUCCUAAAAAACUAUGUUCUUAAUCGUGCCCGUCCAGAAGGAAGCAUCGCCAAGGGAUAUGGAACAGAGGAGGUGAUUGAGUUUUGUGUUGAUUUUAUUGAUUCAAUUGACUCGAUUGGGGUUCCAACUUCACGCCACGAGGGGAGGCUCCGAGGAAUGGGCACCCUUGGAAGGAAAUCAAGUUUAAGCAAUGAUACUGAUUUGUUCGACAAGGCACACUACACUGUUCUACAACAAUCAUCCUUUGUGUCUCCGUAUAUCGAGCAGCACAGGCAGAUGGUAGUUUCCAAAAACCCGACCAAAUCCGACGCUUGGCUUACCUGUCAUCACAUGGAAACUUUUCCCUCCUAGUUGCUCCAACAACUUAUGGGUAACUCUGAGAUUCACCCACAGCUUGCCUGGUUAGCCAGGGGACCUGCUAGCACAAUCGUCAAAUUCCAAGGCUAUGAGAUAAAUGGUUAUACAUUUUACACGAGAGCCCAGGACCAAAAAAGCAUGAACCAGAAUAGUGGUGUCCGCAUAGAUGCCAUGGACAGAAAUAAUAGCAAGGAGUCGUAUUAUGGUUUCAUACAGGAGAUAUGGGAACUCGAAUACGGACUGCUGUACAUCCCUCUAUUUCUUUGCAAUUGGGUGAAGCUAACUGUCGUAACCAAAGAUCAGUACGGAAUGACAAUAGUAGAUCCAAGCAAGACUGGAUACAGUGAUGACCCAUUCGUACUUGCCAAUGAUGUGCAUCAGGUGUUCUAUGUGAAGGACAUGUGUAGCAAACCCAAGAGGAAUCCAGAAGAGACAUGGGAGCCAAAGUGCCACAUAGUUCUUCCAGGUAAAAGAAAAAUCGUGGGAGUCGAGGAUAAAACAGACCAAUCAGAUGAUUAUGAUCAGUUUGAUGGCAUGCCUCCAUUCGCCGUUGAAGUUGAUCCAAGCAUCCUGCUAUCCAAAGAAGAGGCUCCGUACUUACGUCGCAAUCAUGAUCAAGGAACUUUCGUGAAGAAGAAAUUUUACAACGUUGUAUUGUAAUGCGCUAAAUUUACAAGACCUUUGUGUAUUAAUUGAUACAAUUUUUAAUUUACCCUAUGUAUGAUUUCAUGUGUUCUUAAAUUUGUUAGGUGAAGAUUUUUUAGAUAAACAUGAACAAUGUUAACCACAUACAAACAUGGAUUUUUCUGCGCAUUGAAAUUAUUUAAUUGAAUAAUUUCUUGAUCACAGCGAUGCAGUAAAAUAAAUAUUUUAGAGGCUAAAUGAACUGGUAUAGAAUUAAUGACUAAAUCAUACUUAUUGUCAAUUUACUCGCUAAUUAAAUAUAUUUUUGCAUGUACAAAAUAUGUGAAGGUUUUUGUUUUUCAUUCUGAAAUGCAGUGAAAAGAUAAAUAAAAUCCAUUUCCAAAAAACAGGCGGGAGAAGAAAACUAGGAAAAAGACCUUUUAUCUCGGGUGCCAACAGCAACCGGGACAAAAGGCCCCCCUUUUAUCCCGGCUGCAAACUGCAACCGGGAUAAAAGGGUACUUUUCGUCUCCCGCCUGGACGUACCCUUUUAUCCCGGUUGCCAACUGCAACCGGGAUAAAAGGCCCCCCCUUUUAUCCCGGUUGGUGGUGGCACCCGGGAUAAAAUGGUAGGCUCCCAGCCCCACCUGUUUUAUCCCGGUUGGUGACGGGACCCGGGACAAAAGGCCCUUUAGUCCCGGGUGCCCUUACGAACCGGGAUAAAAGGGGGGGGGGGGUUAAAAGGCACUGUAGCCCCUUCUACCCCCAUGCCAGUUACACUUAGCAAAAUUUUUGCCAAGUCCUGCGCGCGUUCUGCUCCGUUGCCACCCGUCCGCCUCCCUCACCGGCCGCCGCCGUCGUCGUCCCCCAUUGCCCCGGCUGUCGUCGUCCCGCCGCCGACUGCGCCCAGACAUCCUCCUCCUCCAUCGCCCCGACCAGCCCGCCUCAAUCCUCCUCGUCCGUCGCGCCCGGCCCCUACCUCGUCGCCGCCGGCCACUAGCUCCAUCGCGGGCCUCGUCGCCGCCUCCAUCCUCGUCGCCGCCUCGUCGCCCCUCGUCGCCGCCUCGUCGCCGUCCCGCCUCCGCCGUCCCGCCGUCCCGCGCGCCUUCGCUUCGUCGUCGCCUUGGCCGCUGUCCUCGCUGCCCCGGCCGCCGCCGUCCCGCCACCCCAGCCAGCGUCGACGACCGCGCGCGAGAGGUCCGCCGCGCCGGCCGGCACUGGCGCCGGGAGUACCGCCUUGCUGACGCAAGCCCACCGGCUUGCGUCAGCAAGGGCCUUUUUUUAAGUUAGAAAAUAAAUAGGUAGUAAUUAGGUACAAAUUCAAUAGAUUUUUGUAUAUGUGUUUAAGAAUCAAAUUAGUGUAAAUUAGUAGUAAUUAGUAGUAAUUAGGUUCGUCUCUCCGCCUAGGGUAGAAAUGAAUCGUGUUUCGUCGUGGUUCCGUCCCCGCCUCCGCCGUCCCGCCGCCCUGACCGCCGCCGUCACAACCUAGGCACCGCCCGUGGUUCUGUCCCCGCCUCCGCCGUCCCGCCGCCCUAACCGCCGCCGUCACAACCUAGGCACCACCUGUAGUUCCGUCCCCGCCUCCGCCCGCCGCCCGGGCCUCCGCAAAUUCAUGUUAUUGCUAGAAAUUCGUAAAAAUUCAUGUUAUUGCUAGAAAUUCGUACAAAUUCAUGUUAUUGCUAGAAAUUCAUAAAAAUUCAUGUUAUUUCUAGAAACUCGUACAAAAUUCAUGUUAUUGCUAGAAAUUCGUAAAAAUUCAUGUUAUUGCUAGAAAUUCGUCACAAAGUACUACUAAUUUGUAGAAAUUUGUAUAAAUAUUCUGGACUUUGUAGGAUUCAUGUUAUUUUAUGAUUUCAUUUUAUACAUAUAAGUAAGGCGAUUUCUAUGACUGUCAUGUAUGAUUCCAUGUAUGUUUCAAUCAAUAGUUGAAAUGGCAGACGAUGAGACCGCAAGGUAUAUCAUGGAGCAGAUAAUCGCUGGUGAUGGUAGUGGCGACAACCUUCCACUAUCGUACACGGAUGAAGAGGGCACCCAGGCGGACAUGUUCCUCAACAUGUCCGCCGAUGGGAAUGAAGAGCAACAGCCCCAGCAACACCUUGCCAUGGCGGAAGGUUCCGGCGAGGUAUAUAUAAUGAUUCUUGUAUUGUUUCACGCCACCGUUACUACUACGUACUAAUUAACGAAUCUUGAACUGUUAGCCCUCCGGAUCGACGCAAGGGCAGAAGACCCGAGGUCGUACAAAGGUGAUGGAAGUGACAGAAGAGGGCAGGCCAGUUGCUCCCGAGAAAGUAGCAAAGAAGUACGUGAGUCAGAUCGGGGCAAUCGUCCGGGACAAUGUGCCUAUCAGCAUCAGAGAAUGGAAGGGCAGAAGCACUAAUCCGUACGCCCUCCCGGAGACAGAAAAGAAUAUGCUGUGGGAAGACGUCAAGAGACAUUUCACAUUCCCCGAAGGAUAUAUUGAGAAGGAUGUGAAAGUGUGGACGCUUAAGAAGAUGGCUACAUAAUUCCAGACAUUCAAGAAGAUACUGGAUACCCACUACAUUAAGAAGGGCCGAACUCCAGACUUCAAUGCGUGGCCAAAGUUGAGGGACCACUGGGAUGCAUCUGUUGAAUAUAAGAGGAGUGAAGACGGUGUGAAAAACAUCAUGACCAACACAACAAAUGCUAGUCAGAAGGGCUACCAUCAUCAUCUGGGGCGAGGUGGGUAUGGCUCAGCAAUUCCCAAGUGGAGGAAGAUGGAACAAGAUCUGAUCGAACGGGGAAUCGUACCUGCAACUAUUGAAUGGCCCGAACGAUCAAAAAAUUGGUACUGCGCUCAUGGAGGCUCCCUGAGCCAAGAGGAUGGGACGUUGAUUUUUAAUGACACAAUACGUGAGAAGGCCGAACAUCUUGUGAAGAACAUUGAAGAUUCUAAGGCUGGGAGGUUGAAGGUGGACCGAGAAAAUGAUGAGCUCACAUUGGCCCUCGGUAAUCCGGAGCACUCAGGACGUUGCUGAGGGUUUGGGGUGGUUCUGUGCAAGUUUGCUUUCCGAGGCGACAGCGCCUCGUACAGAAGCCGGAAGCGAAGAAAGGAAUAGAUCGAGGAGAGCUGGCGGCAGAUGCUAGAAUCUAAAGUGCAGGCACAAGAACAAAGAAUGAUGGAGGAAAUCAAUCGUCGAGUGGCCCACGCAGUUGCGGAGUUGGCCCAAUCUGGAGCAUUGCCGAAUCCUAACACCGCCAGCCCUUCUCAAUGCCUCUUGAGCAGUUGUGCUUCUACAAGGGUCCCCGAUGCGCAGACGCCCGGGUUACCCGUGGAGGAGCAACGGUUCCCCGUGGAUGCCAUCACGCAACGGACCUCAUGUGAGCUGCAUGCACCGGUCGGCAACCUCACUAUUAAGGUAUACUUAUACAUAAUAUUUAUACAAUCUUGUCAAUUGAUCCAGGCCUCGAGAUCGGAGUUCAACUUGUUUACUUCUGCUAUAUGUACAGGUAGCGUAUGGGAGUGCGUUAGCAACCCUGGCGGGGCAGAGCAGUCAUGGCAUGGAGAUUCCACCUGGCUACGCCAGCGUCCGCGUAGAGCAAAUAGUUGAUAGCCAAUAUGAAGGUCUAGAGCUCGACCUCCCGGGAGGAGACGGGGAAAAUACAUUGGCAGAUGCGCUUCAUGGGAUCAUUCUAUGGCGAAAACGCUACAUCAUUAUUCCCGGCACGGAGCCAUCUCCUCAGAGCUCAAGACCGCUCCCCGUAGAUCCCCAGCAGCGACCUUCUCCUCAUACCUCAAGACCGACAUCUCCUGCUCGAGGACCGUCCCUUCCAUCUAUAUCAAGGUCUCCAUCUCCACCACAUCCUGGUGGUGGGAGCGAUGACGACAAUAACAACACCCCUCCCCGAUCACCGUCGCCGGCACCAAGAGCGGCCCCCAUGAAGGAACCUGCACCACCACUAAAGAAGUCACGAGCACCGCCUCCCAAGCAAAGACAGAGAAAGAAGAAAACAAAGGAGCCUGAAGUGACUCGUAAGGAACGCUAGGAGGCAAUAUCUCAUGCGGAACAGUGGGCAGAAAUCCAACGAGAAGCCAGUGAGUGGUUCAAGAAACAAGCCGAAGAAAAAAAAGCAAGGGAGAUGGAGCCACCGCCAGUAAGUCGAAGAGAUUUAAACUUUUUUAUCAGGAUGGAAGAAGGAGCCAAGAAAAGGAUACUACUCUUAUCAAACUAUGAACGGGCUUUAGUAAAGGCUGAUGAAAAGGAUAAAAGGAAAGGAAAGUCAUCUUCCAGCGGUCCUGUCCCCGACCUCAGCCAUUUAUCAAAAAAAGACGCUCAAAGGGUAAAAGCAAUGCCCUUGGAUCAACAAGCAAAUGUAUUGAAGUUCAUGGAAGAAACAGGUCUGGGACUUGAUGAAUGCAUAGGGCAAGUUGAGACGCCAACUGCACCGCCCCCUGAGCCGAGAUGGCCUUAUGAGCUAGGCAAACCUCUAGUAAAGCCUUCAUUGGUACGGAAGCUAUCAACAAAGAUGUACGCAUUUCAUCAAUGGUACAUGAUGGCAUCCACCGACUCGAGGGAGAUGCUCGGCCUGAAGGUAAAACCGAUAGAUUUUCACGGCGAAGGCAAGAAAGUGCUGUGGCUAGACUUCAAGGACAUAUACGAAGUGUACCAUCAUGAUGCCCUGGACGUCUCUCUGAUCAGCGCUUGGGUUCUGUAAGUGUCCAUUUAUCUCUACAUGUAAAUUUUGGCGUGCGUCACCGUACUAACUUCGUCUUCCAUUUUAUGUAGGAUGCUAAUUCAGACAUGCUACCGAGAGGCGUACCUACAUAUAGGCUUCAUGGAUCUUUCUGUAGUUAACCAACAACAGAUACAAUUAGUGCCGGAAAAAACCUUGGUGGAAGUAUACAAUUUCCUAGACAAACAAACAUUCAAGGAUUUCAUACUACUUCCAUACAACUUCAAGUAAGUGUGUGUAUACCGUCUACUUUCGAUGUCUUUUUCCUUAUCUCUACAUGUUAGUUAGAUCUAAUAUGCAUGAACAUUUUACGCACGCAGCUUCCACUGGAUCCUUAUUAUAAUUGAGCCUGAAAGAAGCCACGUCACUGUCUUCGAUUCGUUGAGGAAAGAUCCGGUGGAGUACCAAGAAGUGCAAGACAUGCUAGGCUUGUAAUAAUUCUGGACCUUUAUCUCUAUGCAAAAGUUUGUUUCCUAAAUUUUAUCCCUGUUACACUAUAUCAUUCAUUAUUCUAAUCCGCAGCGCAUGGAAACAAUUCAUAAGGACACACAAAGGUCCAUUCAAAGAAAAACUUACAUGGAACACAGACUUCCCGGUACGUAUGAAGUCUGCACAUUUAUUACAUUGUAUAACAAGAAUAUUUCAUAACUUAUUUUUUUCCGCACUGAAGUGCUUAAGACAGGAACCCGGGAAUAAUCUAUGUGGCUACUACAUCUGUGAGCACAUGCACAGUUUUAUGGGACCCAAGGGACUGAAGAUGACGCCGCACAACUUUAAAGUACGUAAAAUAAAACUAUUACUAGUUAAUUAUUUUCUAGCUCCUUAUAUGUAUUUGUUCGUGUAACAUUCACAAAUUUCCAAAUUAUAGAUGUUCAAUAUUCAACAAGGACUCUUGAAGGAAGAAAGAGUAGCGGCAAUAUGUGAAGGUCUCAUUGGAUUCCUAAUGGACGAGGUGGUAGAUCCAAAAGGAGAAUUUUAUUACGAUGGACGACAAUUAGACACUUCGAUCAGCAACACCACGACGGGAAGAUUGUAGAUAGAUACUUUGAUUUAUUUGUAUAUAUAAUACGCGCUAAUUAUGAUCGAUUUGUACUAGUUGAAUUGUGUAUAAGAAUUGUGUAUAUAUAUAGUAAUUGUAUAAUUACAAAUCCUAUUCGUUUAAAUACUAGUUGAUUUCGUUCUAAAAAAAAUCUCAACUACUAAAGGUUAACAAAAGGGCCGCGGUACUACGUACGUGAUGCAUGCAUGAAAAAUUCAGGCGCCAGACAGUGCCAUGCAGGGUGCCAUUUAGUCCCGGUUGGAAUCCAGCCGGGACUAAAGGGUAACCCUUUACUCCCGGUUGGGAAACCCUUUACUAAAGGGGAACCCUUUAGUCCCGGUUGCUUUUACCAACCGGGACUAAAGGGGGACCUUUACUCCCGGUUAAAAGACCCGGGACUAAAGACCCCCCCUUUGUCCCGGUUGGUUUAUCCUGGAUGGAUUUUCGGGAGAUAUGCACCCUACCAACCGGGACUUUAGACUAAAGGCUAAUUCUCUACUAGUGGUACUACGUAGAUAUGGAUCAUUACCCUCAAUAUGGACUCUCUCAUUUCCAUAAAAAAAAAAAUGGACUCUCUCAGCACAGUACGAUGGGGAUAGUGGCUGCCUGUAAUUUCCCAUUUGAAGCGCAUGUUUUGAAACAAAAAGGUCGAUCGAGUCUAUGCACUGAUUUUUCAUAACAGUCCUUUAUAUACUAUAAGCAAAUGAAGUAGAUAAAGAGUGUCGAUCGAGUGAUUGAAUAAAAGCGCGCGAGUGGAGGCUCGAUUCUUUUGAUAGAAAAAGUAAAUUGACCGAGGAAAAAAGAUCAAGGUGCUAGAUGUUUCUUCCUAAACGUAACUGCACUUGCUGUUCAUCAAACAAAAAGAAAAGAGAAAAACGGGAAGUCCAGCUCUCAAUAAAUUCUUUUUGGAACACACGCAGAGAAAGAUACGAAACGCAACAGAAAAGGGGAGCCACGAAACUCCCAAUUUUUUCGCUCGUCCGAACAUUCAAAACAGCCGGAAACAGACGAAGCAACUGACGCACGACGAAUCCCGGCGCAUGUGCGCGCGAGCGAACCCGGAUGUCGACGGCUGCGCUGCGUUGCAUUGCAUGCCUCCGCAUGUGAGGUGCGGGCCACCUCCGGGAGUCCGGGCCCGGGCCGUUGAAUACCUGGGCGAACCAGUGGCUGCCGGCACGCAGAAUGCAGCGGCGGUCACCAUCCGCGCGCCGAGCGAGCAGCCUCCAUGCACCAGAUUUCCCGGGCCUACACCGUGGCCGGCUGGUGUUGGCUGAGCCCCAACGCUCCCCUCGUGGCGUCUCGCGGUCGUGGGAGGGGCAUGGCCAGCUUGAGCUACCUACGGACGCUUCAAGGCAGAGAACGACGUAUCACGUCAAAUGCUAUCCGUCCAAUAAGAGAAUUUGCGGCCUAUAUUUCCGGAGUUGAUUAUUACAAGAUUCUUGCGUUUGCCGGUGGACGUACGAUGGUUGAACAACGCUAGAUGGACUAAGUGCUAGCUCAAUCAUCUCCAAAACGCGCACAUGCACGCGCCGGAUAUGUCCAUCCACGAAUGAAGAAAAAGGAUGCAACAUCACGUUUCUUAGUUCGCACUGCAUGCAGAUGCAGCACAUGCCAAUAUGCACUUCGGAUGGAGAGGAGGCCGGUCCCAACUAGUAGUAAAACUGUAGAACAGGGAGACAAACCUGCACGGUUUGAACAAUGUGUGACACGUAAGAAUGGCCACGCAUCGGCUCCAUGCAUGUGUAAUGGAACGUCUCAAAUCAGUACCAACAACUACGCUUGCUUGUGCAAAUGGAAAGACAAAAUGGGUUGCAUCCGUAUUCAGUUUAUUAAUGGCCCAAAUAGCGCAGUACCUUGCAAGUUUGCAACGGCAGUGGGUUAGGAAAUUAUUCAGAGCUUAGAUCUUUUUCUGGUUUCACAAUGUCAGGUUUGGUCCAUUAGAACUGAAAUCCACUUAAAAGACAUCUCCAAUCGUGACACCUCAUCUACCCAAAGUAAGUCCACAUUAGCUUUUUAAUUACGUGGAUAGAGCCAUAGAGGUGAGGUAAAAACAUAAGAUAUAGUGCUUCGUCUGUCACUAAUAAUAAAGUAUAGUUAAUUCCAAGGCCAUUCACAAGGCCCACCGAUCCCCUCUGUCCUUGUCUUUGUAAUCUCUUCAUCCCCUCAUGUUGUAAUCUGCUGGAGAUAAAUUGUUUUGGGUAUGAGGUAGGGGUAAUCUGAGACGCUCUUAUUGAUGUAUUUUAAUUUGUGGAAGGUCAUUCAGAUGCAUCUGGUGUAGGGGGCUAAGGUUGGUCUAGGAUGAGGAAAGGAAAAGGAGUGCGAACGCUUGCGGCAUCUUGAAUUCGGCUAAUUCAAUGAACAUCCCGAAAUUUCAGGUUCAGUUAAUUCAAUGAACAGCCGAAACUUCGGGCAAACAAUACUUAUGGUCAUUACCGAAAACCGAAAUUUGGAACACUACAGCUUCUUUUACAUAUAUAGCAGUUUCAUGGAAUAUGCAAUAGGACACUGAAGUUGGUUUUAUUUGUUGCAAGACACUAGAAAUGAGCUGGAGACUGUCCAUUAGUGUCCUAUAUAUAGCAUAGACCACACAAGUUCGGUGUCUUGUCGCAAAAUUUUCCUUUCAAUUUCUAACCCUAGAUCUACAUUGAAAAUUUUAGUUGAAUAUGUUAUUUGCUACUCUCCAAAAUAGAGAAAAUACCACGUUCGUUCGUAUAAGAAGAUCAACCUAGUUAAGAGUGUUUGUUGUGGUGCUAAAGUUGAGAACUUUAUAUAAGCAAGUUUGUAGCUGGUGUUGUUGGUUAUUGUUAGAAAUUUAGGCAUAUUUCGGUACAUUUUAAUUCCAAAAUUAAUCAUGUAAAAGAUUAUCAUGAAUAUGUUAGGUGACUUGGUGACAGCGUGAUAUGUGCAAGUGUUCAGGUUUAAUCUUCUAAUAAACAAGAACAAACAGAACCAAAAGAGAUUUAGGAUGUACUCUAGGGCGGGGCCCGUGCUGAGGCACCGAUGCGCCGUUACCAUUUGGAUUAUUCAUAUCGUGGGCUGGCCUUAGUCGAUAUAGUCAUACAAGUGAUGCAGGAAGAUGUACGCAGUGCAGUUCCUCGAACGACGUUCUUGAAGUAGAAGGAGGUAGUCGUUCAGUUGGACGUAGAGGAAGUAGUCGUUCGGCCACCAGGAAGUAGUCGAACAGGAAGCGAGCAGUCACAUCAAACACUCCUCAAAAGCCUUAUUGCCUGCCUAUCCCGAGCAGGAUCUUCAGUGGCAGUUGUGGUUCUGGAGGCUCUGCUCUCUCGCCAGAACUGUGCGCGCAGUGCUAGCGAUGGGAAUGCAUGGUAGAAGCAGAAAAUAGUGAGGGAGAAAGAGAGAGGUUUCCUAAACAGGAGUACCUUAGAGUGUUUCGGUGUUUUGCACGUGUGAGAGCAAGAGGAGGUGCCUCUCUUAUAUAGGCUCUAAGAGGUGAGGUUCAUCGAACCUGCACAUCAUAAUGUGAUGGAAGUUACUAGUAAUUGAUGGGAAUAAUGGUCAUCAAACACUAGUAACUCUCAACAUCUUAUUGGCUAUGUUAAUUGAGUGAAUCAAUUCUCAUAAACAACAAUAAUAACCUCUCCUUAACUUCCCAUGCAAAAUUGACCAAUUAGUCACUCCUAGCAUUUAUCAUAGACCUUUUAAUUCUUAUUUGAUUAAUUGAAAUAAAUGGGCCUAACCCAAUUAAUCCAACAAUCCACACCAAGAAUUUCAAGGUACACAAAAAUACUCUCAGUUCCACUGUAAUCUUUGAUAUACUAGUAUUUCGGUGGAGACUGUUAAGUUGAACAUCCACCUAGAACUAAGGUUACACUUAUUAACAAUUGAACAAUGGACUAUGCCUUGAAUUGUCAGUCAUGUGCAAACAAGUUUUUCCAGAGCUCUUCACUGAUACUAGGUUGUGAAAGCAUCCCCACGGUUUGAAGCUUAUAAGUCAUUCUCCAGGCCUUUCAUGAGUUUCUAGAGAUCACCAACUCUCAUAGACUGUCGUACAUACAUCUAUGAGCCUACCAGAAGGUUUGGAUAGUACCAAAUAUGAGGCUAGACACCGAGGCGUAUUUGACAUGGAGACCAUGGUGCAGGACGGCGUAGUCUACAGGGAAAGAUAGAAACUAGUUGAGGAUUAGCAAAGUACCCAUUGUAAUAAGAGUAGAACUUCUCUAGUCGUAUCCAACUAGUAUUCUUGUAACCAACUGACAUAUAACCCUGCCUUUGUGUAUAUAAGGAGAGGCAGGGACCCCCUCCAAAGCAGUCCAAUACAACCAACACACAGGAUGUAGGGUACUAUGCUAUUUAGCGGCCUGAACCUAUCUAAAUUGUGUGUCUAAGUUUACCUUUGAGUUCCUGAUCUUGACGAGCCCCACCAACCAAAACACUACCUCGGGCACCCCCCUCGGUAGGUUGCCGGGUCUAAACAUCAAAAGCUAGCGCGCCAGGUAGGGGAUCUCGCGGAGAAUCCGCUAGCGAACUCGAUGGCACAAGUCAUCAUCAAGCCAACCGUCGUGUUUCAAGAAGGCGCGACGUUCGUCUUCGACUCCUGGGUUUGCAUCGCAAACAAUGCCAGAAGUUUCCGCCGCCACAUCGCACCAGCCUCGGAGAAGCACUCAACCAUGAAGCUCCAUCACGAAGUGCUGGAAGAUCUUGUCGAGAAUUUCAGCGAAUUUUCAAUUUUUGACCUAGUUAGAGGUUGGAGAGAUGAGUUCGGCUACAACUCGACUUCUCCCUCCAACCAGAUUGACUUGCACGAGCUGGUGCAACAACCAUCGUGCAAAUCGGACUACUACCAAAGUCGAUUACUGUUCAGACUCCUCAACGCGGCCACUACCUACCAGGCGACCUUGUCCAGAUCACACUCCGAUAUGGAUGAGAUCGAUGACCUUGACUACUACUCGGAUUCGAACGAGAAAACUUCUUUAUCAGGACUGCAACAAGUCUUGAUAAUCACAUCAACUCCACAAGGCAGAUUCGUCUACUGGCCCAACAUGAAGCCGUCCGCUCUAGCCAAGGAUGACGAUUCACGCCUCAUCGCCUACCUCGACACUCUCCCAUAUCAAGAGGAAGCUCCUCUGUCUCCUAUUCCAGAAGAAAGUGGCUCUACGAAAGUCAUCACCUCUAGUUCGGGAAGCUUCUCACCAGAGUGGGAAGUUUUCACCGUUCUUACAAACCAAGAUGGUGAUUAGGAAGAAGAACAACGGGAUAGGAACCCUCGAUGUGAACACCACCCAGAUGAUGUCUCUCAAGAUGAACACACUGCUAACGUCGUCGGGGAAGAAACGGAAGCUUAAAGAACCCGACGAAGGGCAAGAAACACUGCGAGAGCGGAGCAUCGACACCGUCUCAUAGUAGAUCUACCAAUCUAGAAUCUGGAUAGAGCUUUCAAAGCAGUUUAGACUCACCACCACCGUACUCCUCUGGCCACCAUCGCAUCCAUAGAUCUCAUCACCCGCGCGAUACCCCAAAAUAAGUACAUGGAGCAACUGGCUGACCUGGUGAAACUUGCGUACGAACAACUCAAUCACAUGAACCCCAUAUAAUUAGUCCAACCCCCCGAGUUCCACUGAAGCCAGCAUGGUAGCAGCCAUAGAGGCCCUCCCCCAGGGGGAGCCGGAGGCACCAGACCAAGUCAUGAUGGUGGUGCUAGACCAAGUCAGGUCGGAGGCAGAAGACCUAGCCAAGCAGGAGCUGAGGGAAGCCGAGCAGGACCCUCGGGAGGCCACGGCCACCGUGGGGGCGCACUAGAAUGCCCAGCAGAAGAUACAAAAACAAAAUGGUUACCUUGUGGAUCGCCGCAGCUUUAGCGAUGGUUUCCCCACCAAGCGUAGUGGCUGACAGUGGGGGCAGACUCUCCUAGCAAGGCACGUGGAGGUACUUCCUGACCACUACCAGCCAGGGCUAAUUUCAGCAGAGGGGGUUCUUGAUUAUCUCCGACUUCAAUGACCUCCCCAGGGGAUGGAACUUCCAACAAGACGGCACCAGAAACAGCCUCCAUCGCCUUGAUUACAUUGUCGACUACCUACAAAUACAACAAAGGCUUGAUUCAUAGCCAUGAGAUCAACAUACAUAUACAAUCAUACUCGCACCUCAGGGUUUUGCCCUUCCUCAAAGGUUAUUACUAGCAGAUGUCGGUGUUCUAGAUCGGCAACCCGCCUAGGGGGUACCCUAGGUGGUCUUUUAUGCGGUAAGGGCUGUCUAGAAUCACGGAGUCAAUGGCGACGCAAGGAACACGAUUUAGACAGGUUCGGACCGCUAGAUCGCGUAAUACCCUAUGUCCUAUGUGUUUGUUUGUAUUGAUCUUAGAUGCACUUGGAGUUGUUAUGUUUGAGGGGGGUCCCUGCCCACCCUUAUAUGCACGGAAGGGCAGGGUUACAAGUCCUAGUCCUAGUCGAGUACAGGUACAGAGUUCUACUCGGUUUGCCCCGAGUAGUUUCCAUAUACAUACUUGACUAGUCCGAGUGGGAUACGCCUAUCCCCGUCUUGAUCAUGUCCGAGCACUUUGGACAAGCCCCCGAGUACUUUGUAGUCGUACGCCGCAUACUCGAGUACUGUGGGCAUUAUCUGAGUAGUUCUUCGUAGGGGUUGCAGUGUCCAAAGUGCUCGAGUACUAUCGCAUGGCUGGAAGGUACUCUUCUUGCUCCUUUGAGUUGCUUCUUAUUCCAAGAAUUUUAUAUGGUAGUGCGAUGACAAUCGCACUCCAUAUGGAGUAGCCCCCGAGCCUUAGGUUGAGUCGAAGAGUCAGGCUUAGGGUCAAUCCUGCUUCUUGGUUGUUUUACUCUUGGUAGUCUGAGAAACAAAAUUUUGACCAUUGGGUACGGUACCCGCAGCCCCCGAGCACUUAGGUGAUUUUUGUCGUUGAAGUGGUCAAAAACCCAUUGAUAGGAGUAGCCAUUGGGUGUUAUGACAUUAAAUCUAUUUAAAACCUUUCCGUUGCGUAACUGACACUUGGAAUCCGGAGGUGGCGGAGAUAUAACUGGAGGGCCCCCUUUCGUUUAGGUUUACUAUUGCAUAUGCAUCUCGUGUAGAAGCGAAUCUCGUAGACAGGAUGUACAAACUGCUCCCGACAACUGAGGAAGUACCGGCCGAGCUACAUCAUGUCGAGGCCGAGCAGAAGAUCAGCGAAACAUCCAACGAGCUUCCCACUAACUUAGAAUAGGAAGGCAAGCCCCGGAGCAUAACCCAAUUUUUCUAAAUUUAUGCACUACUUAUGUUUCUUAUGUUUGUGCAUUUAAGUUCAUAGGAGUUGCUUGAAACCUUAGUUGCAUGAUCUCAGGUGCCUAUGGUUGAAUACUAGAAUGAUAGGCCGAGUAGUUGCUAUGCUAAAUAGGACUUGGUAAAAGUCAAGUGAGUUCCAGUCACUCAUGAGUUAUAGGAGUUGAUUGGUUACUCUUACUGCAACUAUAAGGACGACUGACAGGAUCGGGAUUGGUUCCCACUUAGUGGUUGUGUCCCGUCUGUCUAGCAAUGAACAUGCUAAGGUUGAAUUGUAUUUAGAGCUGUGUUCAAGUGUUUGAAAGUACUAAUCUCAUACUUAGUAUGGGAUAGGGAAGCCUAGUACCUGAUUGAACCGGGACGUGAGCAGACCGCCCCACUGUCUCUGGAACAGAGUUUCCCCUGGUGCAUCAUGAGGUUUAAGUGUAGUCACGAUAAGGCAUCGUCCGGGAGCGUGGGGCAUUGUAUCCAAGGGAAGUGGGCCUGAUACGUGCCUGGGGUUUGAUGGGGACGGCUGACAUGUGUGGACCCGUCGUGGUACGCAAUGUCGUGGGGUUAGGUUCACCUUGCAAGGUUAAGAAACUCAAUUCGAAUCGUCUGCCUCUCACAGUUUGAGACUGCUUGACCCACUUCUGCACCGAGUAACAAGUGGAAUAGAGAAUGAUUAUUUUAAUGGUGAUGCUUGGACUAAAAUGUUUCAUCAACAUGCUUGCUUAGAAUAGGUGCUAACCUAGAGUAGUUAAUCAACUAGAACCUGAUGCUAAAACUUGAAAGUAAGGGCUUACUAUAGAUGCUUUUGGCAAAACAACCCCUCAGCCAGAAAGCCUUGCAUGUCUAGGAGUCAGUGAAGUAGUUACCACCUGACGGGUAAGUCUUGUUGAGUAUUAGUAUACUCAGCCUUGCUUGUGGCUAUAUUUUUAGGUAGUGUUGAUUUUGAGGAGAUGGUUGCCAGUUUGACUUGGCCGACCCAACUCCCUCCGGGUUGGACUAUCGAGUGGAACCUGUCCUCAGACGGCGAGGAUCGUGGUGAUUGAUAUCAUGGUCGGCUUCGCCAUGGUAUUAUGUAUCAACGUUAGUUGCAUUGUGUCUUUUUCCACUGCUUAAACUCUGAAACAAUUUAGUUAAUGCACUUUUAAACUAUUGUUGUGUCAUAACUGGAUUUGAAUUUAUAUAUUAAGUAUCGGAAUGUUGUAAUCUCUGGACUCGCCUUCGUGUGAGAUGCUUUUCGUUUCGAUCUGAGACAAGUGGUUUAUCGGUAUAACCCAACAGAUUACCAUUUUAACUUGAUUAAAGUGUCGGUUCGCAUGUGAGGCAAAGUUGAGUACACUUUAGCUAGGUUAAUCUGGGUGGUUCUGCCACGUGAGUCUAGUUGUAACAGGGGCCAGAACAACAACAAUUAGAAUAAUGGCCAGCGUAAUGACAAGAACUGUAAUGAUUGCCCCAAUAAUGACAACCGAGACAACUACUCGGGUGGUCAGAAUCGCAAGAGGAAGCCAGACAAUACUGUCACGACAAUGUCUCAAUCUUCCUAGAAAGGUGGCAAGAAUCAAGAAAGGACUCCAUUUAGCCAGCUCCUAAAAAAGUAGUGCCCAUGGCACCCGCACCAUAAACUCUCUGCAUUGGAUUGCUAUAGUCUGCGCAGAGUCAUGAAAGAUCUGUCGGAACCUUUUGGAACAAAGGACAAGGGCAAGGUGAAAGAAGACGAAGAUGAUGGCGAUAACGGAAAAUUCCAGAACCUGUCCAACACCAUCAAUGUCAUCUUUGGCAGCACAUAGGGUACUGCUACUAAGCGGUCCCAGAAAUUAGCCCUCCGAGAGAUUACGUCCAUUAAACCAGCAACUCCUACAUUCCUCAAGUGGUCUAAGGUGCCAAUCACCUUCUCCAAGAAGGAUCAGUGGACUAGUUUCUUCGUUCAGGAUGCGACCCUCUCGUCCUGGACCUAGUAGUCACAGGCUCUAGACUCACAAAAGUGCUCAUUGAUGGCAGUAACGGUCUCAACGUACUAUUGGCCAAGACUUUGAGGAAGAUGGACCUCGACAUUACGGAUAUGCUCACCUCGAUAAACUCUCCAUUCUACGGGAUUGUCCUAGGCAAUAUGGUUGUACCCUUGGUCAAGUGGUUUUGCCAAUUUCCUUCAGGACCAAAGAACACUAUCAGACAGAGUACAUCCAGUUCAACGUGACUGAUUUUGAAACAUCGUAUCACGUUAUCCUCGGAAGACCCGCCUUGGCCAAAUUCAUAGCCAUUCCGCAUUACCUGUACCUAGUACUCAAAAUGCUGGGACCUAAGGGAGUACUCUCCCAGCACGAAGACUUGAAAAGAUCAUAUGACUGCGACACAGAAGCCGUGGAGCUGGCAGCGACUACUCAACUGUCAAAUUCAAUGAUGCAAGUCUUUGUCGCUUCCAAGAAACUGUCCCUGUCAGAAUUUGAGAUCCCAGAGAAGAAGUCGGGGCCAACCAAGGUCAAGCCGGCAAGUGAAGUUGAUAUCAAAGCCAUUGACCUCGAAACUGGCAACAGCUCCAAGACAACCCUGAUUGGCUCAGGGCUGGAUCCUAAAUAGGAAGCCACGCUCGCCAGCUUCCUCAGGGCCAACCGAGACAUCUUCGCAUGGAAGCCAUCAAAUAUGCUGGGGGUGCCUAGGGAGUUGAUCGAGCACUAACUAAAUGUGGAUCCCAAAGGUACGCCAAAAUAACAACGACUACGUCGAUUCACCCAAGAUAGAAGAGAAGCAAUCAAAAAGGAGUUAGCCAAACUACUCAUGGCAGGCUUCACAAAAGAAGUCUAUCAUCCAGAGUGGCUGGCCAAUCCUAUCUUGGUGCGGAAGAAAAACAACUACGAGUGGAGGAUGUGUAUCGACUACAUAGACCUCAAUAAGCACUGUCCAAAGGAUCCCUUCGGGCUCCCUAGGAUUGAUCAAGUCCUAGACUCGAUGGAUGCAUGCGCUCUACUCUACUUCGUUGAUUGCUACUCGGGGUAUCACUAGAUAGCUCUCAAGGAAGAAGAUCAAAUCAAGACUGCGUUCAUCACUCCUUACGGAGCUUUCUGCUAAACAACAAUGUUCUUCGGGUUGAAGAACGCAGGCGCCACCUAUCAACGGGCAAUCCAGGAGUGCUUCAAGAAACAACUACACCACAACAUAGAGGCAUACGUGGAUGAUGUGCUCGUAAAGACAAAAAAUCCCGACGACUUGAUUGUGGAUCUGGAAGAAAUCUUCGCAAGCUUGCGAGAUUUCCAGUGGAAGCUAAACCCAACAAAAUGCAUGUUCAGCGUACCCUCUGGAAAACUACAUGGGUUCAUCAUCACUCACCAAGGGAUUGAGGCUAAUCCCUAGAAGAUCUCUUCCAUCACCAAUUUGCACGCUCCAUUGCGCAUCAAGGACAUCUAGAAGCUGACUGGAUGCAUGGCGGCCCUCAACAGGUUCAUCUCAAGGCUUGGAGAAUGGGGACUACCCUUCUUCAAACUACUCAAGCGGCAAGACAAGUUCCAGGGGACUGAGGCAAAUCAAGCCUUGCAACAGUUGAAGAACUUCUAAUCAAAGCUACCGGUCCUCACGGCGCCAAAUCCCAAUGAAGACUUGCUGCUCUACAUUGCCGCGACAACUAAUGUUGUCAGCACAGCGAUCAUGGUUAAAAGACCAGAACCUGGCCAUGUAUACAAAGUAAAGAGGCCCGUCUACUUCGUCAGCGAGGAGUUGUUAGACUCCAAAUCCAGGUACCCGCCAGUCCCAAAGCUGCUAUAUGCAGUACUACUCACCGCGCGGAAGCUACGACACUAUUUCUAGGAACACAACAUCUCCGUCGUCAUAGCUUUCCCCUUGGGAGAUAUUCUUCACAAUCGAGAUGCAACAGGAAGAAUCUCUAAUUGGGUGGUAGAACUCGAAGCAGUAUCCCUGGAUUUCAAGUCGAGGACUGCCAUCAAGUCAUAGACACUAGUUGAUUUCAUGGCAGAGUGGCGGGAAAAUCAAGUACCAAUGCUAGCAGAGCGCCCAGAGCAUUGGGUCAUGUAUUUUGAUGGAUCACUCAAGCUCGAGGGUGCUGGUGCAGGAGUUUUCUUAAUCUCUCCCAAAGGUGAAGAACUUAAAUAUGUCUUGCAAAUCUUUUGGGAGGUGUCCAACAAUGAAGCUGAAUACGAAAUGCUCCCGCACGGGCUCCGCCUGGCAGUCUCGCUGGGAAUGAAGUGAUUGUUGGUCUAUGGUGACUCACUGGUGGUAAUCAAUCAAGUCAACGAUGAGUGGGAUCACCACAGGGACAACAUGGAUGCAUACUGCAUGGAAGUAUGUAAGCUAGAGAACAAGUUCUUUGGUCUGGAGUUCCACCACAUGGUCCACGACAACAAUGUAGCUAGGGACGUCUUAUCCAAGCUUGGAUCUACUCAUGCUCAAGUUCUAGCUGGCGCCAUCAAAAACCACCGAUCGAGGUCAUGAUGCACCAGACUGGGAGGUUAUGAUGGUCGAUGUAGAUUGGAGAACCCCCUUCAUCGACUACAUAAAGGAGCACAAGUUAUCUUCAGACAAGACUGAAGCAGAGCAAGUCUCAUGGCGCAGCAAGAACUAUGUUCUAGUCGAGGAUAAGCUUACAGGUGAGGCGCAUCAUCUGGAGUACUCAUGAAGUGCGUAUCGAGGCAACAUGGCAAGGACAUACUUGAGGAAAUCCACAAAGGCAUCUGCAGCAACCACGCAUCCUCAAGAACGAUCAUGGGCAAGGCUUUCAGAGCAGGAUUCUAUUGGCCAACAGCUCUCGCUGACGCUGAAGAACUAGUCCGCCGAUGCCAAGGGUGUCAAUUCUUCACCAAGCAACAACACAUCCAUGCCUAUAAAUUGAUCACCAUACCACCCUCUUGGCCCUUUGCAUGCUGGGGGCUAGACAUGAUUGGCCCACUGCCAACAGUGCUCGAGGCUUCAACCAAGUACUCGUGGUGAUUGACAAGUUCACCAAGUGAAUCGAGGUGAAGCUAGUAACCUGCCUUAAGGCAGACAGAGUACUCGACUUCCUUGACGAAAAUGUCCAUCGCUACGGCUUCCCCAAUCACAUCAUCACAGACUUGGGCUCCAAUUUCAACAACCACGAGUUCUGGGAGUACAGCGAGAAUAGUGGGAUUGAUGUUCGAUAGAUCUCUGUCGCUCAUCCGCAGGCCAAUGGCUAGGUUGACCAUGCCAACGGGAUGUUACUGGAAGUUCUUAAGGAAAGACUACACGACAUUGGAAACACCAAAGGUGGCAAGUCGCUCAAGGAGCUACACAAUGUCCUUUGGGGGCUUCGCACCCAACCGUGCAUACCUGCAGGGUACUCGCCCACUUGGGGCCGAUCCAGAGCGGGUGAGGCACACCAUCUGCAAGAGUGUACUUUUUCCAUUAGUCACGUAAUUCGAAAGCUUGCUUAAUCACAAGGAAAAAUUAUAUGCUGAAUCAUAAACGUUCAUCUUACCGAUAGUGAGAAAAACAACAAUAAGAUCCCUUAUUGAGUAGGUGCAUAUAUCUUCCUGGUUAGGCACAUGGUUUCUCAUCUUUUAUUGAGUAGGUGCAUAUCUCUUCCUUGUUAUGCUCAUGAUUUCUCAUCUUUUAUUUAGUAGGUGCAUAUAUCUUCUUUCCAUUCUUGGUUCUUCCUGCUUGCUAACCGAACGUUAGGUAACAUGGUUGAAAAGCGAGGUUAGCGCGUUGCUAUACCGGCUGUUUUUCAGCAAGCUGAGUGGUGAAAAUUCGGUUCUAACACGAGUUUAACAGAUCCGACGGAGCUGAAAUUUUACGAGCGAUUAGAACACAAGUUUUUGCACAACUUUGGUAUUUAAAACUUAUCUCAAAAGUGCACAGAAGUGGCAGUAAAAGUGAGAUGAAAACAGCGACUGAAAUCUGCCAAGAUUACAACCAUUAAGAUUACUUCAUGACAAGGCAAGUCCGGGAUUGUGGCAAAGUUUCUCGAUACAAGAAGGGUUCUCAACUUGAGGCUAACCUAUUACAUUACCAUCCAAAAACAUAGGUUGCUGAGGAGUAAACAACAAAAGAUCGACUCGAUAUAACAACACCUAGAAAUCGUCUAAGUUGCCCACGGAAGAAGCAUUGUGUGCCGGAGAAGGAGCGUCACCAACUCGGGGCGGAGACUGAAUGUCCUCCAAGUCCAUGCUCGAGACACCCUCAAUCUCCUCAGGGUCUUCCUCCUCCUCCUCCUCCUCCAUCGGGUCAUUUUCCCCCUGCUGCUCAAGCGCAUGGAUUGCAUUUAACUCGGCAUGGUGCUCAUCCAAGUGCGUAUUGGCAAAAGCUAGCUCCAUCUCAACAUCCAAUUUCUCCUGUGCGAGCACCAGCAUGUCGUGCUCCAUAUCUGUCACUUCCUCCUCCAGCUCGGUGAUCCAGGUCUCCAUGUCAGAGAUCCGUAUACCCCUCUGGAUGAGCUCAUACGACUGGUCGACCAAAUCUCUCUUGGUGGUAGUGAGAGCCUCCUGGGUAUCCACAGCCAUCCGAGCCAAGGUAGCCAUAGCUCUCCCCUGGAGCUCGACCAAUCGGUAUAGCGCAUUCAUACACCACACUGAGGUGAAAAUCGUGUGCUGCGGGUGUGUGGUAGCCAACACCUCCAUGUUGUUCAUUCUAUCAAGGCAAUCCGCAUCCAGCCUAUCCCUAGCAGGGAACAAGCCAAUCGGAUCCAAGAGGUCUCGAAAGGGUGUAGUCUGCAGAACUGAGUGAGGGCCUGCAGGGCAGCAGACUCCCAAGUGUCCUCAAGGGUAUCACCAUAGGUCAAGACAUCAAUCUGUGGCCACUGUGGCUGCUCUAGGGGCGGAGGUACGAUCACGCACACGCUGCACCUUUGAACCCCGUGCUCCUGGUACUCACAUCCCGCAUAAAGGGGCGGUGACUAGUACCCAAACCACCUCAAGGUAUCCUACAAGAUAGCGGGAAAACCCUUGAAGUGUAGGCACGUGGAGUGGGAAGUGCCAUCUGCACUGUGAACCACAUGCCCAGGAGCAGCCAUCUGGAACCAAAGAUCGAUAAAAGAGACGUGAGAUCAAAACUUGAAAUGAAUAACAGAUUCUGGUAGGCUAGAGAAAAGCGCAUAACUCAACAAGAACUCAUCCAAAAAUUUCCAAAUUUUACUAGCAUUUUAUUCAGAUAGUUGGUAACAAGUUUGGUAUUCAGAGGUGGAGUGAAAUCAGAUCCUAACAGGGUGAUAUAAUCAGGUUUUUAACAGGUGGUACAUGCGGCAAUUUCAGAGAUAGUGCGGCAGUAAACUGAGCAUAACUCCCAAACCAGAGAUCCAAUUAAGCUGAAAUUUUACCAAAUUUUCUACAAUAAGUUAUUCACAACUUUUCUUAAGCAGUUCUUAGCAGAAAAUGUACUUAAGGAAGUCGAAAAAGUAAAACUAUAACAGGUGCACAAACUAAGUAUUUUAGUAACAAGGAGUUACAACAUUGAUCAUAGCUUACAAUUUCUUUAGGCAAAAGUUACCAAAUUUCACCAGCAGCUUUAUUAAAGGUUUUUACACGAAUUUCUCAUAUAAAGUUUCUGGAGAUAACACAUGAAAACAACCUAAAGGAAUUUUACAAGACAACAUGCUGAAAAGGGGCAGCUAGAAAAUCCUCAACCAAGGAUAACCUUAAACACAUAUGCGGAGAUGAUUUAGCUUUUUGGUUUCACGAAUUUUAGUUCAUGAUGCAUGCAUGACCAACAUCGUCCUCUCAACCAAAAUAAUUGUCAAAAAGUUUUGGACUUACGUGGUUAGUGCUGGUGGUAAGCAACAAUUACGUAUCUCCCUAUAAUAACUAAUCGGGUUUCUAAUAUCGUUUCCUACGCAAACGCGGUUAGUGUACCUGCAGAAAAACACAAUAUAACUUGAACCUUUCAUGCCAGCACUCAUGAAAGUGUCCCCAUUCAUUACCGUUCACUAUAGAAAUAGCACCCAUGCGUUUAACGCUGCAUGGACAGCGCAACAACCGUGGAAAUAGGUCUCUUUGAAUAGAACCAGGAGGAAGUUGGGGAGGCCAAGUGCCAUUUGCAGCCAGCUCAGAGGCAUCAACAUCACCUGAAAGAGAUAUGCCACAACAAGGCUAAGCGACUACGUGUGGCGGAUCCACUUCGGAUUUGCUUAGUCAACAUGAUUAAGCCGCAUGAUACGCGACACUCAUGCCUAAACCAAGUAAACACGAAGUGCCGUCGGAUUUCAUCCGAUUUAACCACUUGAACAGGACCGAAUAGCAAACCCACACGAAGGUGAGCGGUUCCAGAGAAUACAACAAGUCCACCGAGUUAACAAAUUAACCAUUUAGUUUGGCCAUAAAACAACAUCAGAGUUUACAAGUUCGGAAGAGAAACAACAAAAGGUAAAACAACUAGCGGAAGCUAACUCGUCGGGGUCGGACAUCCCUGGUGAGGCCAACCGGGACAUCAGUGAUCCCUCUCCUCGCUGUCCGAGGAGGGAUCCCACUUAACCGUCCAACCCGGAGGGAGUUGGGGCAGCCAAGUGCCAGCAGAGGGAGGCUCCGAGGCAGCAACUUCACCUGAAAAAAAAGAGGAGCCACAACAAGGCUGAGCUACUAAGCUCAACAAGACUUAACCGACAGGGAGUACGCUACUCCACCUCUUCUAGACAUGCAAGGCUUUUUGGCUAAGGGGUUUGUUUGCCAAAAGCACUAGGCGUAUCCCUACUUUCAAGUUUUUAGCUCCGGUUCUAAGUUCAUUAUCCGGUCUAGGUUUGCAAUCUACUCUAAACAGACAUAGAACCAACCAAGGUAUAUACAUCAUCAUCAAGACCAUGUUAUCACCAGAUUCUUUUAUUACUCAGGGUGACAUAGCGAUCAAGCAAUCUCAAACUGUAAGAGGCAGACGAAUUGAUUCGAGUUUCUUAACCAUGCAUGGCGAACCUAAUCUCACGACAUCCACGCACCACCAAGGUCGCUUCCUGUGUCGGCAUCAAUUCCCAGGCGCGUGUCAGGUCCAAACUUCCCUUGGCAUGCAAUGCUCCACAGUCCCGGUCUCUACCAUACUGUGACCGCACUUGCACCCACAUGAUGCACCAUGGGAACCUCGUUCCAGGGACAGCAGGGGUAUAAGCCACGCCCUAGUUCAAUCAGGUACUAGGCUUCCCCAUCCCAUACAAGGUAUGAGAUUAGUACUUUCAAACACUUGAUCACGAACACCACCGCUGUCGGGCCUUAGCAAGUUUCAUAGACAGACGGGGCGAUCAACCGACCACCAAAGAGUUACCCAAAACCCUGCCCCGUCCAUCGUCCUUAUAGUUGUAACAGAAGAGAAACAACCAACUCCUACAACUCGCGAGUGACAGGAAAUCACACGGCUUUUACCGUUUCCUAUUAAGCAAAGCAUCUAACCUGUCCAACAGCUAGUGUUCAGGUCAAGGGAGCUAAGUUAUGCAUCUACGGUUCCAAACAACUCCUAUACGUAAAUGCACAAGCAUGUUAAAGAAGGCAUGCGCAAGUUUGGUAAAACAUAGGGGAUUCAUGCAUCCGGGGCUUGCCUUCGAGCAAGGAGGAGGGAAACUGCUCGUCUGCUUGGGCAGCUUCGGCUUUUGGAGGCAGGAGCUCGGCUACACCUUCGUCUUCUGGCGUCGGGUGCAGCUCGUAGAAGCCGUCGGCGAGACGCAGCUCUACACGAAUGCAAUGCAUUGGUUAGCAUUUAGACGGUUAUUUCAACAGCAACACUUGCAAGUUUGAGCCCAGAAACUUGCGACAAGUUACAGGAGGGUGGGAAGGUUCGAUGGAGUUGAUGGAGAUCAAGAUAUAAGGGUCGGACGGGGAGGAACUUAUGAUCAGACCCUUAAUCUAGAGGAAUAGAUGUGCUAGGGGUCCUCAGACGUAAUGCUGGAAAGUCCCCAAGUUUUAUACAUACACCCUCGGUUCAAAGAAAAAGAUACAGCCGAGCCCUCGGGCGAGGCGGAGAAAGGUCGGCGGAACAGACAGGGUCGGGCGAGACGGAACCGGGGUCGGGCGGAUAGGAGGGGUCGGACGAGGCGAACAAAGGGUCGGUAGCUUACCUUCGUCUUACAGAUGAGGCUUGGGGUCGGGAAAGAACAGGCUUGGGCGGAAAGACUAAGGCUUGGGACAGCGGCGAGGAUGUCCGGUGGUAUGCCGGCGGCGGCGUGCUUCUUGUGGAUCACGAGCAAGCUCUUGUGCAGCACUGGAAGUAGUGGUUGGUGGAUUGGGGGAAGGUGGUGUUUGCGCGGAGAGGAGAGUUCCUCAGACUUAGGCGGUGGCACUGUGAGCACGAACAGGAAAACGGGGCACUGCUGCGGGCGAGGGUCGGGCGAUCCACCUUCCCGACUGUUGGAGUCGGCUGAGCGCCUGGGGUGGAACCAUUCUGAAACACUGCGCAGGUGGGCUGGGCGUUGGCAGUGGGGCUUUCCUCUUCCUCUCGGCUGCCAGAGCCUUCAUGCAGUCCUCUUGUGAGAUGGCCAGGUUAACCAACUCAUUGUACGUAUCCACCCUUAUCGGGUUUAACCUUUCUCUGAGCUGCAAGCUUAGCCCUCUGCGGAAUCUGUCCCGCUUCUUCUCGUCGGUGUCCGCGUGAUAUCCGGCAUAGCGACACAGAUCGUUGAAGGCUUGAGCGUAGUGUAACACAUCUCGGUUUCCCUGGUGAAGAGCCAGGAAUUCAUUGAGCUUGCGAUCCAGGAGACCCUCCGGAAUGUGGUGUGUUCUAAACGCGGUCUUGAACUCGUUCCAGCUGACGAUAUGGUCAGUUGGCAACAUGGCAUGGUAGUGAUCCCACCAUAGCCGGGCGGAACCACGUAGCUGAUGGGCUGCAAACCGGGCCUUAUUGUGGUCGGGGCACUGGGCGGUGAGAAGCUCGAACUUGGAUUCGAUGGUGCGAACCCAGGCGUCUGCAUCGAGCGGGUCUUGGGUCUUCUGGAACAAUGGGGGCUGCGUCCCCAAGAAGUCUUCAUAACGGGCAACAUGAGGUUGCUGCUGAGCCCUUCCACCAUGGGGCUGCUGCUGUUGUUGUCCUUGUACCAGAUGUCUCAGCAGCUCGGUCUGAGCCGCUAAGAUUGCCUCUAGUGGAGAUGGGGGUGGGGGUGGGGGAAGAUCCUGUCUUUGCUCGCUGCUGCCGGGCACAGAACCAGAUCUGGUGCGAUGCGCCAUCUGUAAGAGUUAACGUUCCAUUAAAUUCAUAAUCCUAGAAGUACUCCAACAGAUGGGAACGCACAAGUUAAUUUCUCCAAUGCAACUCUUGCCGAUAAUGCAACACAUAGCCUCAUAAGGGAGAUACACUUUUCCCAUUGUCAUCUUAGUUAGCAUUUAUCUUAGCCCAGUACACGACUUCGGGCGAACCAUACCAUACCCAGACUCCAGGAAUUCCCUUACAUCUGAACUUAAGCCAAGGGGUCGGUAAAAUGAACCACACAGAAAGGGGUCGGGCGAGGCGGAACACUGCCUCGAGGGAUCGGGCGCAUCCGAUCUCGCGACCCAGGGUCGGCCAAACUUGAACAGACCCACAGAAAACGACGUGUGUGGUCACAGCACAAACUCACAUGGUCUAACAUUCCAACAUUUUGCAAAGAGUCAAAGGUCAAUUUAAGGAUCUGAUUUCACUGGGAUCUUUUUACAAAUGUGUUCUAAAACACAAGAAGUACUCAACUCAAGGCUAACCUAUUACAGGACUAUCCAAAAUUUAGGCUGCCGAGGAGUACAACAAAAGAAUGGGUUCCCUACAACUUUCCAUCUACGAGGGAACACUGUGAGUGGGAGAAGGGGCGUCAUCCUCUUCAAUGUCCAUACUGGACGCUUCCUCAACCUCCUCAGGGUCUUCUUGAGCUUCCAGCUGCAUCUAGAGGGCAUGCAUGUCAUCUAGCUCGGCGUGAUGCUCGUCCAGAUGAGCAUUACCAACCGCCAGCUCCAUUUCCACUUCCAUCUUUUCCUCUGAUAACUCGAUCAUGCCGUCCACUAAGUCGGCUACUUCUCCCUCAAGCUCAGAGAUUCGGUCCUGCAUGUCGUGGACUUGAAUGCCCUGUUGGAUGAGCUGAUACGUUUGGCCCACCAUGUCUCUUCUGGCGGCCUGGAGGUGUCCUUGGGUAUCCGCGGCGAUCCGAGCAAGGAUAGCCAUGGCUCGUCCUUGGAGCUCAAUCAGCCGAUAUAAGGCUAACAUGCACCGGAUAUUGGUGGAGAUGGUGACCAUUUAGUAGGAGGUGGCCAACACCUCGAUAUUGCUGACGCGGUCGAGCCAUGUCGGGUCCAACCGAUUCCUGGCAGGGAACAGGCCGAUGGGGUCUAGGGUGACCUCCAGCGGGUGUAGUUGACAGAAUUGAGUGAGGAGUUGAAGAGCAGCUGACUCCCAGGUGUCUUCCAGUGUGUGGCCAUAUGCUGAGAUUCCAAACGGGGGCCAGUCGGUCCGCACAGGAGGGGGAGGUACUACUGCCUGCACGUUGCAUGUUUGGACGCCUCGCUCCAGGUACAACCGUCCCGCAUACAAAGGUGGAGACUGAUACCUGAACCACUUCAAGGUGUCCCACAAGAUAGCGGGAAAACCCUCGAAGUGCAGACACAUCGAAUGGGAGGUGCCAUCUGCGCCAUACAGGACAUGUCCGGGGGCGGCCAUCUGGAACCAGGAACCAAAACAACGUGAGAUGAACUCUAAAGGUCAAGGGUCGGACAGAAAAAGCAUCUGGAUUUUUAACUGAGAACAAGCUGGAAGAAACUAAAAAUCCUUAGAACCGAAGAAGAGCUUUUCCGAGCAAGGUUGUUUUUGAGGAGGGUGACUCUACAGAUUCUUAGCUUAUGUCGCAUGCACGGCCUACCUCGUUCUUAACCAAAACAACUGCCAAAGCUUGGUCUUACGCAGUUAGUGCCGGUGGCAAGGCAACCAGUACGUCUCUCCCUAUAAUAACUAGUCGGUUCUAGCAACGUUUCCUAGGCGAUCGCGGUUAGUGUACCUGCAGAAGACACAACCACAUGAACCUUUCGUGCUAGCACCCACGAAAGCGUUCCCAAACAUUACCGUUCACUAUAGGAACGGCACCCAUGCGUUCAAGGCUGCAUGGACAGCACUCAACCGUGGAAAUAGGUCCCCUUUGAAUGGAACCGUAUAACCCUUCGCAUACUCGUGAUGCGGAAUCAGCGCACGUAUAAUAGACGUGGCGAACAACCGUGAUGAUAGGCUCGUUGGAAUCGAACCAUACCAACCUUCGUAUGGAUUACAUACGGAACCUGCGCACGUAUAAUAAACGUGGGCGAAACAACCGCGAUGAUAGGGUCCUUUGAAUAGAACUCCCUAUCAACCCUCGCAUACUCGUGAUGCGGAACUCGGCACACGUAUGAUAAACGUGGCGACGUGCUGGAAGGGUUAGCAAGAUAACCAAAUAAAUAUUAGCCACCUAAAACAACCCCAAAAUCCCCUAGGGCCUCUCGUACUAAAGUCAUCCUUAACGGUCGUACGAGAUUUUUCAAAGAGUUUCUUGCAACUUUUAUUUUUUUUAAAGAAGUGAUUAGGACCUAUUGUGUUCUUUGUCUUGUUAAACCGGCUCUGAUACCAGCUGUGGCGGAUCCACUUCGGAUUUGCUUGGUCAACAUGAUUAAGCCGCAUGAUACGCGACACUCAUGCCUAAACCAAGUAAACACGAAGUGCCGUCGGAUUUCAUCCGAUUUAACCACUUGAACAGGACCGAAUAGCAAACCCACACGAAGGUGAGCGGUUCCAGAGAAUACAACAAGUCCACCGAGUUAACAAAUUAACCAUUUAGUUUGGCCAUAAAACAACAUCAGAGUUUACAAGUUCGGAAGAGAAACAACAAAAGGUAAAACAACUAGCGGAAGCUAACUCAUCGGGGUCGGACAUCCCUGGUGAGGCCAACCGGGACAUCAGUGAUCCCUCUCCUCACCAUCCGAGGAGGGAUCCCACUCAACCGUCCAACCCGGAGGGAGUUGGGGUGGCCAAGUGCCAGUAGAGGGAGGCUCCGAGGUAGCAACUUCACCUGAAAAAAAAGAGGAGCCACAACAAGGCUGAGCUACUAAGCUCAACAAGACUUAACCGACAGGGAGUACGCUACUCCACCUCUUCUAGACAUGCAAGCCUUUUUGGCUGAGGGGUUUGUUUGCCAAAAGCGUUAGGCGUAUCCCUACUUUCAAGUUUUUAGCUCCGGGAACCUCGUUCCAGGGACAGCAGGGGUAUAAGCCAUGCCCUAGUUCAAUCAGGUACUAGGCUUCCCCAUCCCAUACUAGGUAUGAGAUUAGUACUUUCAAACACUUGAUCACGAACACCACCGCUGUCGGGCCUUAGAAAGUUUCAUAGACAGACGGGGCGAUCAACUGACCACCAAAGAGUUACCCAAAACCCUACCCCGUCCAUCGUCCUUAUAGUUGUAACAGAAGAGAAACAACCAACUCCUACAACUCGCGAGUGACAGGAAAUCACUCGGCUUUUACCGUUUCCUAUUAAGCAAAGCAUCUAACCGGUCCAACAGCUAGUGUUCAGAUCAAGGGAGCUAAGUUAUGCAUCUACGGUUCCAAACAACUCCUAUACGUAAAUGCACAAGCAUGUUAAAGAAGGCAUGUGCAAGUUUGGUAAAACAUAGGGGAUUCAUGCAUCCGGGGCUUGCCUUCAAGCAAGGAGGAGGGAAACUGCUCGUCUGCUUGGGCAGCUUCGGCUUCUGGAGGCAGGAGCUCGGCUACACCUUCGUCUUCUGGCGCCGGGUGCAGCUCGUAGAAGCCGUCGGCAAGACGCAGCUCGACACAAAUGCAAUGCAUUGGUUAGCAUUUAGACGGUUAUUUUAACAGCAACACUUGCAAGUUUGAGCCCAGAAACUUGCGACAAGUUAGAGGAGGGUGGGGAGGUUCGAUGGAGUUGAUGGAGAUCAAGAUAUAAGGGUCGGACGGGGAGAAACUUAUGAUCAGACCCUUAAUCUAGAGGAAUAGAUGUCUAGGGGUCCUCAGACGUAAUGCUGGAAAGUCCCCAAGUUUUAUACAUACACCCUUGGUUCAAAGAAAAAGAUACAGCCGAGCCCUCGGGCGAGGCGGAGAAAGGUCGGCGGAACAGACAGGGUCGGGCGAGACGGAACCGGGGUCGGGCGGAUAGGAGGGGUCGGACGAGGCGAACAAAGGGUCGGUAGCUUACCUUCGUCUUACAGACGAGGCUUGGGGUCGGGAAAGAAUAGGCUUGGGCGGAAAGACUAAGGCUUGGGACAGCGGCGAGGAUGUCCGGUGGUAUGCCGGCGGCGGCGUGCUUCUUGUGGAUCACGAGCAAGCUCUUGUGCAGCACUGGAAGUAGUGGCUGGUGGAUUGGGGGAAGGUGGUGUUUGCGCGGAGAGGAGAGUUCCUCAGACUUAGGCGGUGGCACUGUGAGCACGAACAGGGAGCAAGAGAGAGGGCAGCGAUGGCAAAGGGGAACUCCGGCGGGGCUCCGGCAUUCCCUUUUAUAGCUGCGCGGAAGCGAGAAGGAGAAACGGCGCGAAGGCCGGGGAAGAAGCAAUGGAGUGCUCUGCCGGGGCGGCGAUUGAGCGAUGAGGGCGGUGGAGCAGGACUUCGGGGAUGACACCGGUGGUCAUUGGGCACUGUCGUCAGGGCGGCGCAGGCGCGGGUUUGCCGGUGGUUGAGAUUUGGCGGAGGUGGGCGUCGUCUGCGGUGGAUCUGAUGGAAGUGACCGGGGAAACGGCGCUAGGAACGAGGGCGCACAGGUCAGAAGACAAGCGGUUGCGGUCGCGCGGGCAAGCGCGGAGCAACAGAUUGUCGGGGCGGAGCUUCUGACAUGGCGGAAAAGGGGCUGUCGCUGCCGCGGUCUGGGUUGGCAGAGGAGGAAUCGUCGCGUAGCGAGGACCGGGGCGGCGCGACUGUGGAGAGGUGACGGAAAAGACAGGCGGCAUCGGGCUCUGCAGCCGGGAUCUAGCGAUGUGAUGAUGGACGCGGGCGGUGAGGUGCUGCAGAAAGGGUAGCAGAGGAGCUUCCGCCGCGAUUGGGGAAGGGGGCGCGAGAAUCCAUCCGGUCGUGGCCGGCGACGAGGUGGAGCGGCGGGCGUCGGAGGAGUUGAGCCACGCGGCAAGGGAACUCUGAAGCGGGCAUGCCACUCGAGUGCGCCUGUCGCGGGGGAUCUGGGAGAAAGAUCUCGUGGGUCCACCGGUCAGUCUCGGGGGUCCACGGCUUGAAUUGAAGGGCGGCGUUGUGGGAUGACUUAGAAAGAUCCGACGGUGGGUUGGGGGUCGGCGGGGUCGGAACUAGGGAAAACACGGCGAGGGGUCAGAUCGAAGGGGUCAGGAGAUCUGGAGGUUGAGCACUUAGGCUUGGUAAACGGAGACAGGUGAUAAGGGACUCGGAUUAAGAUUGACGCGAAGGAUUUUUAACCGAGGUCGUUACACUACGCUCAACAAGACUUAACCGACUGGUGGUACUAUUCCAUCAACACCUAAACAUGCAAGUUUUUUGGAUAGAGGGGUUGGUUUUUGCCAAAAGCGACUAGUGUAGGUCGUUACUUUCAAUAUUUUAGCCACAAAUUCUACGAUCAUUUACCAGUCUAAGUUAGCAACUAGACUAAACAAGCAUAGUCUCCAAGCAAUUUAAUGUAGGUAACCAUAUUAGAUCAUCAUCAUCUUUCAUUCUUACUUAGUGUAGCAUAGCGAUCAAGUAGUCCCAAACUGUGAGAGGCAGACGAAUCGAUUCAAAUUUCUUAACCAUGCAUGGCGAACCUAAUCUCAUGACAUCCGCGCACCACGAAGGGUCACUUCACUUGUCAGCCGUCCCUAUCAAUUCUCAGACCCGUGUCGGGCCCACUUCCCUUGGUACAAGGCUCCAUAGAUCUGGCCUUUGCCGUUCUAUGACCACACUUGUCACCACAUGAUGCACCAGGGGAAAACUCAAUUUCCAGAGACAGUGGAACGAUCUGCUCAUGUCCCGGUUCAAUCAGGUACUAGGCUUCCCCAUCCCAUACUAGGUAUGAGAUUAGUACUUUCAAACACUUGAUCACGAACACUAUCACAUCUCGACCUUAGUCUAAUUUCAUGUAGACAAACAGGGCAAUCCACCGACCACCAAAAUAGUUCACAAAGCCCUACCCCGUCCAUCAUCCUUGUAGUUGUAACAAAAAGGAGAGCAAACAACUCCUACAACUCGCGAGUAACAGGCAAUCACUCGACUUUUACCGAGUCCUAUUAAGCAUUGCAACUACUCAACUUCAAAUACUAGUGUUCAUAUCAAAAGGGUGCCUAUCUCAUGCAUCUAUGGUUUCAAACAAUUCUAGCAACGUAAAUGCACAAACAAGGGAAGCAAUUGUAUUGCAAGUAAUUAAAAUAGAGGAAUUUAUGCUCCGGACUUGCCUUCACACGGGGAGGUAGCAAACUGGUCUUCGGCUUGCUCGGGCUCGGCUCUGAUGGGCUGCAGAUCAGCUACGGCUCCUUCUUCUAGCGCCGGGUGAAGCUCGUAAGUCCCGUCAGCGAGGUUCAGCUCUACACAAAAUGCAAUGCAUCAAGUUAAAUUUCCAAGCUUUCUCAUAGGAUGUAAAACACGAGUUAGUACUAAAGAAGAAGUUAUAUUAGGGCCACAUUCACCUAAACAAGGUUCUACACCUUCUUUAUCUGCAUAAGGAAGAUGGGGUGUGGUACAAGUCUGGGGUUGUUUUGAUGGCGAUCGUGUACAUAUAAGCACUUACUUUAUUAUACUUGAGAUCGAAAAGCUAUCCUAUUUCUGAAUGUUCUUUUGUACCUCUUCCAAUAUUACCUUUAAUAUCUGAAGGUAGCAUAUACUUAAAUAUUUUUAUAACAGAAACCAUAAUGAAACUGGUCAUGAAAUUUUUAACAAUGAGUUAUAGGGGUGAUACAGAGCCUUUGAUGAAUUUUUCAAAAAAAAUUUAGUGAAGGGCAUAUUUUUCCAUACAUUUACCCUAUUUAUUCUUCCCUAAAAAGGAAAAUGGUUUCCUAUUGUGUUUCUAAUCAGGUUCCAUAUUUUUCCUACAAACUACACUAUACCACCGACUUAUUCCAGUUGGUUUCACAUUUUUAUCAUCUCUGGUUUAAUUAUUGUGCAAAAGACAAAAACAACCUUAGAUUUGUAUGAAAAAACUAAAAUAGAGGUUUAAACAUCUAAGCUAGGCUUCUCAUGAUUUUUAUGAGCUUCCAUUCUCUUAAACAAGCACUUGAGAGUUGGAUUUACCUUUUAAACAUUUUUUUGUGAUUUGUUAUGAUUUAAAUAGCUUAAACAAGGAUUAAAUCAUAUAACAUUAAUCUUAGCAGUGACAUGUGCUAAAAGUAUUUUUAUUAAAAACUACUAUUAAUACUGAGUCUAACAAAAUUGGUUUGACAUUUUUCUGAACUUUCUAUGAGUUUUGGUGAAUUUCAAAAGUUAAACACAUGCUGCCAAUUAUAAAAGAAAAACCGAGGUAACCUUGCGGUCUAACCCUAGGCGUAACAAUCUAGAUUAAUUAAUCCAUAUUUAAAUCCUAAAUAAAGUCAUUUGCGCAUAAAGGAGAACUUUGACAGUAGUGAAGGCAAGUGAAAGGACACUUUUGCCCCUCACGAGCUAAACCGCUGUUUAAUCAGUAACUUAAAUUUUUGCUUAAGAACCUAAAAAUCUGUCCAACUAAGAGUUGUAGAACUCAACUUUCUUGACAACUUUAUUCUUGGUUUUGCUGGAAUCUGAGCAGAAGACCUUCAAAAAUUUGAAGUACAAAUCUGUGUCAAUUUAAGGAAAACAGAUUAAGUCCCAACUUUGGGGCUCUUUAUUUCGAAAUUUCUAAUAUCAACUCAAGCUGAGCUCUAUAUCAAAGUUUUAGAGCUUCAAGACCUUAAUAACUCUGAUUUAAGAAGUAAGUUCUAAAUCUACACCGAAAGCCUUCAAAAUCAAGGUCAAAGUCACCUAGUUUGGUCAACUCAGCCCAAGACUUGCAAUCUAGACUAAGUCUAGAAAUCAGAUCAACCCUACAUCUUGGCACGAGCUUAUCUCUCAAAAGUUGAACUAAACAUCAUAAAAAUCCUUUAUAAGAGUUUGAGAACGAAGCCUAUACAACAACUUUGUCAAUUGGACCCUAGUCCAAUUCGCCUCCAAAGCUUUUCAAAACUUCAGCUCAAGUCAGCCAAACACCCUGAAAACAGCCAAGCCGCUGUUUUUCUCAAAGUCCGGGAAACCGGCGUUCCUCCAAACUUUCGAGUUUUGAAUCUCCAAAUCCACCGCGAAUUUGAACUCGGUUCAAUUAUAAAAGUUGGACUUUGGUUUGAGGACUACAACUUUUGUUAAGGAAAUUAAUAUUGUGCGGUUCAAGAUUUGGAAGAUCUCGCGCUUGGAAAUUGGCCCGGCGAAAUGAUCCCGCGAAUCCCUCACCCAAAGCGCGCACCAGAGCACGCGCGCCGUGCACUCUAGAGCGCCGCCGCCACGUGGCGCGGCUUCACCGGCGAAGCCGUCUCGCCCAGUCGCCGGCCGCGACAAGAUGGGUCGACGCGCCUCGCUCCCCAAUCGAGCUCAACGGCGCCCUGUAGCUCCCCUGCCCCUUCUGACCUCGCACGAGGGCCUGCCAGCCACGCCAGGCACUCUGCCCGUGGACAUGCCACCAUCCCAGCCACUCCACGGCUGAACCCAGUUGCCGCUGCGCUCGGUGCUGCCUCACACCCCGCGCGCAAUCCGCUCCGACGGGAUCUCCGGCCGCGCCCCGACGCUCCCCGCCUCUCCCGUCCAGACCUGUUGUGGCUCUGCCUGCUCACGCCCUGCAACGCCGCCGCCUCCGCCGCGAUAGCUCCUCCCAGCCUCGCCAAUGACGCGUCCCGGCAAAGCCAAUGUUGCCGCGCACGCUUGCAUCGUUUCGCCCGCGCCUGUCGCCUCGCCUGCCACCCCUCUUCCCCCUCCGUCCGCCAAUGGCGUCGUUGUCAUUAAUGGCCGCGAUAGCAUGCGCCCUGCUCUCCUCCGGCCCACCGGCCAACCGCAAGCCCCAGCGCCUAUAUAAACCCCGCCGGCGCUACCGCGCUCCCCUUCGCCUCUCUCUCCGCUCCAGCUGACCCCAUCCAGAACCUCACCCGCUCGCCAAGCUCCGCCGCCGCAAGCUCCUCUGCUCCGCACUCACACGCUGCCACGCGAGCUUAUCGUGAAGCUCCCCCUUCUGCUCAACCCCGCACCUCGCCGACACCACUAGCCACUUCGCCUCUCUCUCGCGCAACUCUAGAGCCUGCUUGUUGCCCGCGAAGAGUGCCACCACCGCCGGAACACCGCCGGACUUCGCCGCCACCCGAAGCUUCCCGCCCUUCCACCGUUCCGCCCCGACCGAGCCUCCCCGUCACCCCCAACUACUUCAAACCAGCCCAAGGUGAGCCCGUAAGCCUUUCCGGCCCCUUACCGCCCCAAGGCCGUCGGCGAGUUGCCGGAAUUUUGGCCGACCGCCGCCGCCCGGGCCCAAGGACCUGAUUGCGAUUGAGAAAGUCAAAUCAGGGGCUUUACUGCUAAAACUAGGGAGCUUUGUGUGUUUAAACCGUAGACCUAGGGGCUAGACCGUAAGUUUGCCACGAUUUAUCUUUUUAUAUCGGCAGAAUAUAUGUUUAACUUUGGAAAUUCACCAAAAUUCUUAGAAAAUUCAGAAAAAUGUCAAACCAAUUUUGCUAGACUCAGUUUAAAGAGUAGUUUGUAAUAAAAAUACUUUUGGCACAUGUCACUGCUAGACUUAAUGUUAUGUGUUUUAAUUCUUGUUUAAUCUAUUUAAAUCAUAACAAAUCAUAGAAAAAUGCUAAAACGUUAAAUCCAACUCUCAAGUGUUUGUUUCAGAUAGUAGAAGCUGAAAAAUGUUUUGGAACCCAGAUUAGAUGUUUAUUUCUCUAUUUAGUUUUACCAUGGAAAUCUAAGCUUGUUUUUGCCUUUUUGCAUAAUAAUUAAACCAGAAAGGAUAAAAGUAUGAAACCUUUUGGAAUAAGUCAGUGGUAUAAUGUCUUUUGCUGGAAAAAUAUGGAACCGACCAGAAAUAGAAAGAAGGACCACUUUCUUGUUUAGGGAAGAUUAAAUAGGGUAAAUGUACAGAAAAAGAUGCCCUUCACUAAAAAUCAUGAAAAAUUCAUCAAAGGCUCUGUAUUACCCCUAUAACUCACUGUUAAUAUUUCAUGACUAGUUUCAUUAAGGUCUCCGCUAUGAAAAUGUUUAACUAUAAGCUACCUUAAGGUAAUAAAGGUAAUACUGGAAGAGAUACAAAAGAACAUUCAGAAAUAGGAUAACUUUCCGAUCUAAGGUUUAAUAAAAGUAAGUGCUUAUAUGUACACCAUCACCAUCAAAUCAACCCCGGCUUUGCACCACACCCACCCUCCUUAUGUGAAUAAAGAAGGUGUAAAACCUUGUUUAGGUGAAUGUGGCCCUAAUAUAACUUCUUCUUCAGUACUAACUCGUGUUUUACAUCCUAUGAAAAAGUUUGGGAAUUUAACUUGAUGUAUUGCAUUUCGUGUAGAAACCUCGCUGAUGGGACUUACGAGCUUCACCCGGCAUCAGAAGAAGGAACCGUAGCUGAGCUGCAGCCCGUCGGAGCCGAGCCCGAGCAAGCCGAAGACCCGUUUGCUACCUCCCCGCGUGAAGGCAAGCCCCGGAGCAUAAAUUACUAUGUUUAAAUACUCGCAAUAUAUUGGUUAUUUUGAUUGUGCAUUUAUAUUUCUAGGAAUUGAUUGAAACCAUAGAUGCAUGAAUAUAGUGCCCCUUGAUUUGAACACUAGUAUAAGAAGUCGAGUAGUUGCAAUGCUUAAUAGGACUCUGUAAAAGUUGAGUGAUUGACUGUCACUCGCGAGUUAUAGGAGUUGUUUGCUUUCCUUUUGUUACAACUAUAAGGACGAUGGACGGGGCAGGGCUCUAUGAACUAUUUUGGUGGUCAGUGGAUUGCCCUGUCUGUCUACAUGAAAUUGGAUUAAGGUCGAAAUGUGAUAGUGUUCGUGAUCAAGUGUUUGAAAGUAUUAAUCUUAUACCUAGUAUGGGAUGGGGAAGCCUAAUACCUGAUUGAACCGGAACGUGAGCGGAUCGUUCCACUGUCUCUGGAACGGAGUUCCCUUGCAGCCGCAUGUGGUGACAAGUGCAGUAAUAGAAUGGCAGAGGCUGGGUCUAUGGAGCCUUGUACCAAGGGAAGUGGGCCUAACACGGGUUUGGGAAUUGAUGGGGACGGCUAAUAAAUGAAGCGACCCUUUGCGGUGCGCGGAUGUCGUGAGGUUAGGUUCGCCAUGCAUGGUUAAGAAAUUUGAAUCGAUUCAUCUGCCUCUCACAGUUUGGGACUACUUGAUCGCUAUGCUACACUGACUAACAAUGGAACUUGAUGAUGAUGUUAAUGUUAAUGCUUGUCAUAAAUUGUUUGGAAACUAUGCUUGUUUAGUAUAGUUGCUAACUUAGACAGGUAAAUGAACUUAGAACUUGUGGCUAAAAUAUUGAAAGUAAGGACCUACUCUAGUCGCUUUUGGCAAAAACAAACCCCAGAGCCAAAAAGCUUGCAUGUCUAGGUGUUGGUGGAUUAGUACCACCGGUCGGUUAAGUCUUGUUGAGCGUAGUCGCUCAGCCUUGUUGUGGCAUAUCUCUUUCAGGUGAUGUUGACGCCUCUGAGUUUGCUGCAAGUGGCACUUGGCCUCCACAACUUCCUCUUGGGUGGACAGUCGAGUGGGAUCCCUCCUCGGACGGUGAGGAUUGGGAUCAUUGAUAUCAUGGUCGGCUUCAUCAUGAUGUCUGGCAAUGACGUUAGCUUCUGCUUAUUUAUUUCUGCUGCUUGAACUCUACAACUUUGUUUGAAUUUUGAACUCGAUGUUGUAAUAAUCUUGAUGCACUUGUUUAAUCUGGAUGGUCUAUUGUAAUCUCUGAAACCACUCACAUUCGUAUGAGCUAUGCUUUCUCGAUUCUGUGUUAAGUGGUUUAUCGUACGAAAUCUGACGGACUACCAGGUUAACUUGAUUAAAGUACAGGAUCGCAUGUUAGGUGACUUAAAUGUGCUUUAGCUAAGUUAAUUUGGGCGGUUCCGCCACACUAGGUCUAUACUUUAAUCUCGUAGGGGUCCCUGAUCUUUGCACUAAAGCCCUUUACUCGACUUUCUAAACCGCAAUCGGGUCCCUAGCGCGUGGGUUGUGGCGGCCGGCCAAAAUUCCGGCGAUUCGUUGGCGACCUUGGGACGGUAAGGGUCUAGGAAGGCUUACGAGCUCACCUUGGGCCGGUUUGAAGCAGUUGGGGGUGACGGGGAGGCUCGGUUGGGGCGGAACGGCGCAAAGGCGGGGAGCUUCGGGUGGUGGUGAAGUCCAGCGGCAGCGGCACUCUUUGCGGGACCCGGACGGGCUCUAGAGCUACACGAGAGAGAGGUGAAGCGGCUGGCGGUGUCGGCGAGGUGCAGGGUUGAGCGGAAGGGGGAGCUCCACGGUGAGCUCACGCGGCGGCGUGUGAGCGCGGAGUAGAGGAGCUUGCGGCGGCGGAGCUUGGCGAGUGGGUGAGGUUCUGGACGGAGUCAACUAGAGCGGAGAGAGAGGCGAAGGGAGCACGGUAGUGCCGGCGGGGUUUAUAUAGGCGCCGGAGCUCAUGGCUGGCCGGUGGGCCGGAGGAGAGCGGGGUGCGUGCUGUCGCGGCCAUUAAUGGUGAUGACGCCAUUAGCGGACAGAGGAGGGAGAGGGGCGUGGCAGGCGAGGCGACAGGCGCGAGCGAAGCGAAGCGAGCGUGCGCGGCAAUAGCGGCUUUGCCGGGAUGCGUCACUGGCGAGGCGGGGAGGAGUUCUCGCGGCUGGGACGGCGGUUGGUGGAGGCGGCGGCGUCACGGGGCGCGAGCGGGCAAAGCCGCGGCAGGUCUUGAUGUGAGAGGCGAGGAGCAUCAGGGCACGGCCGGAGAUCCUGGCGGAGUGGAUCGCGCGCGGGGUGCGAGGCAGCACCGGGCGCAGCGGCAACCUGCUUGGGCCGCGGAGUGGCUGGGACGGCAGUGUGUCCGUGGGCAGAGUGCUUGGCGUGGCUGGCAAGGCCUCGGGCGAGGCGAGACGGGGUGGAAGAGCUGCAUGGUGAUGUCGAGCUCGACUGGGAAACGAGGCGUGUCGACCCAUCCUAUCACGGCCGGGGACUGGGCGAGACGGCUUCGCCGAUGAAGCCGCACCACGCGGCGGUGGCGCUCUGGAGCAUGCGGCACGCGUGCCCUGGCGCACGCUGGGCCGAGGGAUUUGCGGGAUCCCUCCCCGGGCUGAUUUCUAGGCACAAGAUCUCCUAAAUCUUGAACCGCAUAACAUUAACCCCCUUUACCAAAGUUGUAGUCCUCAGACCAAAGUUCAACUUUUGUAAUUGGACCGAGUUCAAAUUUGUGGUAGAUUCGGAGAUUCAAAGCUGUAAAGUUUGGAAGAACGCCGGUUUUCCAGACUUAGAGAAAAACGACGGUUUGGCUGGUUUUUAGGUCUUUGGCUGACUUGAGCUUGAAAUUUGAAAGGUUCCUGAUGCAAAAUAGAUCAGAGUCCAUUUAACAAAGUUGUUAUACAAACUUAAUUCUCAAACUAUUAUAAAGGGUUUUUCUGAUGUUCUGCCCAACUUUUGAGAGAUAAGCCCACGCUAAGAUGCCAGGUUAGGCUGUUUUCAAGACUUAGCCUGGAUUGCCAAUUGAGGCUGGGUUGAACAAACUAGUUGGCUUUGACCUGAGUUUUGAAGGCUUUUGGGGCAGAUUUAGAUCUUACUUCUUUAAUCAAAAUUGUUAAGGUCUCGAAGCUCUAAAACUUUGGUAUAGAGCUCAGCUUGAGUUUUUAUUUAGAUAUUUCAAAAUAAAUAGUCCCAAAGUCGAAACUUCAACUAUUUUUCUUAAUUAACACGAUUCAAAUUUCGAGUUUUUGAAAAGCUUCUACUCAGAUUCAGGCAAAACACCAAAAAUAAAAGCUAUUAGGAAAGUUGAUUUCUACAACUCUUAGCUGGACAGAUUUUUAAGUUCUUAAGCGAAAAUUUGAGUUACGGUUUAAACAGCAGUUUAGCUUGUGAGGGCAAAAGUGUCUUUUUACUUGCCUUCACCGCUGCCAAAGUUUUUCUUUAAGCGCUAAUGACUUUAUUUAAGAUUUAAACAUGGCUUAGUUAAGCUAGGUUGUUUCACGCCCUCCCUGGAGAGGGCUAAACACUGGACUAUGUACUUUGAUGGCGCCCUCAACCUCGAAGGAGCCGGCGUGGGGUCCUCUUUAUAUCCCCCAAAGGCGAGCAACUCAAGUACGUGCUCCAGAUCCACUACAAGGCUACCAACAACGGUGCCGAGUAUGAAGCUCUCAUCCACGGCCUCCACAUCAUCGUCUCCCUCGGAAUCAAACGCAUCAUUGCUUAUGGCGACUCCAAGGUUGUCAUCGAGCAAGUCAACAAGAACCGGGACUGCACCAAGGAGUCCAUGGACGCUUACUGCAUGAAAAUCCGCAAACUUGAGGCCCACUUCGAUGCCCUUGAGUUCCGCCAUGUCCCCAAGGACCAUAAUAUCACCGCCGAUGUCCUGUCCAAGCUUGGCUCCAAGCGUGCGCAGGUUCUGGCUGGCAUAUUCAUACAAGACCUCCAGAAACCUUCCAUCAAAACCUUGGAAUAUGAACAUGUCAACGACGCUGGCGCUCCGGUCUCGGCCGACCCAAAAUCUACUGACGUCAUGAUGAUUGAGGCAGAAAAAGUCUGGCGCACCCCAUUCAUAGCCUUGACCACCGAUCAGAUGGCGCCAGAGGAUAAAAUAGAACAUGAAAAAUUAGCUCGGCGCAGUGCAAAUUACGUCGUUAUCGGCAAGGAGCUCUACAGGAAAGCUACAUCUAUAGGCAUCCUGAUGAAGUGCAUUCUGCACAGCGAAAGCCUCGAACUCCUGCAUGAAAUCCACUCAGGAACAUGUGUCAACCACGCCGCCUCGAGCAUUUUGGUUGGCAAAGCCUUCCGCUCUGGUUUCUACUGGCCAACAGCGAUAGUCGAUGCAAACGAGCUCGUCCAAAGGUGCAAAGGGUGUCAAUUCUUCUCCAAGCAGCAGCAUCUGUCAGCUCAGGCCUUGCGCACCAUCCCACCAUCCUAGCCUUUUGCAUGCUAGGGGCUGGACAUGGUCGGACCCUUCAAGACCACUUCAGGUGGCUACACACAGAUCUUUGUGGCAGUUGACAAAUUCACCAAGUAGAUUGAGGUCAAGGCUGUCACCAGCAUCAAGUCAGCUAAAGUCGCUCAAUUCAUGGAGGAAAUUACACACCGUUUUGGAGUGCCGAACAGGAUCAUCACCGACCUUGGCAAGCAAUUCACAGGCUCCGAGUUUUGGGAUUUCUACCAAGACAACCUCAUCGAUGUGUACUACUCCUCAGUAGCACACCGUGCUGCAAGGGUCAAGUCGAAUGUGCGAACGGGAUGGUCCUCUAAUCCCUCAAGUCACGCAUCUUCAACGACGCAUCCAAGUACGCCACCAAGUGGCUACGCGAGUUACCCCAUGUCAUUUGGGGCCUACAAACAUAGAAGAGCCGGGCUACCGGCUACACCCCUAUCUUUAUGGUGUACGGCUUAGAGAUCGUCCUGCCAUCCGACGUGGCAUUUGGCGCCCCUCGCAUCCAAUACUACAAGGAAGGUGAGGCAGAAAUAAGUCGACGGGUAGACAUCGACAGUCUUGAAGAGCAUCACGUGGCAGCCCUCAUCCAGCACGCACGCCACGAGCAGCAGAUACGGCGCUACCAUGAUCGGAAUGCCAGGGAACGUUCCUUCAACGUUGGUGAUUUGGUGCUUCGCUGGAUCUAGUCCACCAAGGAUAUACACAAGCUGGCCGCCCCCUGGGAGGGCCCCUUCAUCGUUAAAGAAGUCAUCUAGCUAGGAACUUAUCGACUCCAAUAGGUGGAUGGCUCAGGCGUCCCCAAUCCAUGGAACAUCGAGCACCUACGGCGCUUCUACCCUUAGGAUUCACAAGCUAUUUAUUCUACUUUUCCCUUUUCAUUAAAUAAAUACAACCUCUGUGGUUCUUAGUGUACCUAGUGCCUUAUUGUUUCUUUUACCCGAGCUGUUCCUGACGCUCGGAGGCUGUCCAACCUGUUAGCUCGCUCUCAGGGGCUACCCCCAGGCGCUGACCUCCAGGUCCCGCAUCCUUCUCCUCCCCCUCUUGAGGCAAUACGACUAACUCGUGUGGUCGGCGUCCCAGCUUGAGAAACCUAGACAACCUUGCAUUCACCCCUCCAACAAGCUCGAGAUCCGGUCUCAGCAUGACACUAGUCAGGCAAGGCUCGGCGCGACUGCAGGCCUCAGCUACAUGUUGUCCUGUCGUAUACACCAAGGGAUGGAUGGAGACUCUUUUUUCUCCACAUACGGUUAAGUUAAUUACAUCACUUGUCUUUUAAGAUAGUUUAAUACACCUCAGAGUUUAACACAGUUUAAUGCUCGGAGUGUACUUUUGAGAGGUCUCCUGAACAAGAGUACCUUAGAGUGUUUCGAUGUUUUGCACGUGUGAGAGCAAGUGCCUCUCUUAUAUAGGCUCCAAGAGGUGAGGUUCAUCAAACCUGGACAUCAUAAUGCGAUGGAAGUUACUAGUAAUUGAUGGGAAUAAUGGUCAUCACUAAUAACUCUUAAUAUUUUAUUGGCUGUGUUAAUUGAGUGAAGCAAUUCUCAUAAACAACAAUAAUAACCUCUCCUCAACUUCCCAAGCAAAAUUGACCAUCACUCCUAACAUUUAUGGUGGACCUUUUAAUUCUUAUUUGAUUAAUUGAAAUAAAUGUGCCUAACCUAAUUAAUCCAACAGUUAUUAGCUGACAGGACACUUUGGUAAAGGAAUCACAAGUCUCUUAUUCGUUAGAAAUUUAGUAGAACUCAGCCGGCAGCGUGCUGGACAGUCGUAUCUGUAAAGUGUAAAGAAACCGAGCAUUUCGUGUUUUGCAUGUCCGACGGAAGAGCGGCUUCUCAAUUAACUUUUUUGCAGGGUAUCUUGCAACCACCAUGGGUCCAAUUUUAUAAGACACAAUACAAAGCAUUCACCGUAUCAUUGUACUAGCAUCUAUCAUUUGUGUCGGUAGUAUGGCAUAUCACAUUUCGUACAGGAAACUGAAACGGAUUAGGUGCCUCUUCCAACACAUAAUCAGCGAUUUGGUACACAGAUCGUUACUAAUGAUUGCAUCCUUACCUGUACCAAUAAUGAUGUCGUCCGUUUAUUAACAUCCCUGUAACCGGCUGUGCGCGAAUCGGCCCGUUCGGCCGUUCCUAACGCAUCAUCGAAGAGGACUAGCUGUGCAUUUCCGACGACGAGCAUAAAAAAUGCAGUGCACAGGUACAAGGCACUGUCGACAAUACACAUCACCGGAUAACUGCCAAGAGGCCGUUGCUUUUUUAAUGGUGCACGCAUGACUACCCGAAGUCUCCGUUCCUCGCAUGAUUUGCUCCGGAGCCAUGUGACCCCUACCAAAGAACGUCGGGUGCAACAGCCCUUGAUGGCGAUCGCGGCGCACUGCGUUCCAUCGAUCGAGUCUUUUCCUCCCCUAUAAAUACCCCAGCAAGGUGCUCUUCCCCAACCAUCCAAAACACCGAAUCUUAGUGUCUGCUCGGUACUAGCAGUAGCUAUACCUUCAGUAGAUCUUAAGCUUGGAGUAGAAUUUGUGUUUGCUGCACUGAGCUAAGAUGGCCUCCUCUUCCAAGGCUGCAGCAUUUGCUGCACUGCUCUUCUCCCUCCUUGUCACGUAUGGCUCGUGCACUCGGCCGGUGAACUUUAACGAGUCGGACUUCACCGCCGACCCCAACUGGGAGGCCGCCAGGGCCACCUGGUAUGGGGCACCCACCGGCGCCGGUCCUGACGACGACGGUACGUAAUUCUCGGUCAUGGCUACGUAUGGGUAUUGGCGUAUUGCUGAAUGCCGCAUUUUUGGACGAUUAAUAAACUAACUCUGCAUGCAUGCCCUUGGCGACCCAUCUUUUUUUGUGCAGGUGGCGCCUGCGGGUUCAAGAACGUGAACCUGCCACCGUUCUCGGCGAUGACGUCCUGCGGCAACGAGCCACUGUUCAAGGACGGCAAGGGCUGCGGCUCCUGCUACCAGGUACGUAGACUUUUCCGUCUCUGCCGUGUCGUGGAAAACAGGAAAAGGAUACCGAUCCGAAAGCUUAUUUGAGGUACAUGCAGUUGUUGUUUUCACUAACUCCAUUUGUUGCUCCUCUUCUUCAGAUACGAUGCACCAACCACGCUGCGUGCUCCGGCAACCCGGAGACGGUGAUAAUCACCGACAUGAACUACUACCCCGUCGCCAAGUACCACUUCGACCUCAGCGGCACGGCCUUCGGCGCCAUGGCCAAGCCAGGCCGCAACGAUGAGCUCCGCCAUGCCGGCAUCAUCGACAUCCAAUUCAAGAGGUGGGUACCAUGCAUUGCUGCUCGUUGCACAGAGCCGCAGAACAGAAUCAUUAGCUCGACCGUCUAGCUUACCUGUUCUGUGGAGCCCUUGUACUUUUGCUCAACCGAUUUUGACGACACGACAGCCAGUUUUAAAUGGGGGGCUGGGGCCCACGUAGAUUCGCAGAAAUAUUUAGUACCAGUACUUCCAAUUCACUCCGAAUUUGGAGUCUGCAUGCACUGUGGAUCGACAAAGGUUGCUUAAUUUGAAGCCUAAUCCAUGUCCAAACGC